rnacentral:lncRNA from 1 species
UUCAGAGAAGGUUAAUGAUUUUACAAAUGUUACGAAAUGUUAGUUACAGAAGUGGGUCAGGAAAACAAAUUCCUUUCAUUCAGGCUGUUACUUCUUGACCUAGUCACAUGGGAGGCACUAGGAAUCCUGAGUUCUCAUCCCUGAUUUUCUGGUGAGAGUGGGUUUUGCCUUUCCACCUCUCAAAUGGAAAUGCCGGACAAGAAAACCCCCAUCAUCCCCUCUAGCUCGGAUAUCCAAGCAUUCUCUGAUGCACACACGAGAGCAGUAUGGCCGAAGAAAUAGUUUUAUAAGCUUCGAUGACAUUCAAGAUUCCUGAUUAACACCCCCUCUCUGUGGUUACAUGAACACGCAGGUGCCAGGCAUUCAUCCUGAAAGGACAUCAGAUAACUAUGGGCUGGUGAAUCUGGAAAAGUGACAAACUGGGUUUAAAAUAGUCAGUUCCUGAGAGAAUGAUGGUUCCGUUGGCCAAGGCAAGAAAACCCUAAGAAGAAACUUACAUAGAUGGAAAAUUGACAGAGAACAGGAGGUCAGUGAUUAAGCUUCAUGGUACAUCUUAAUUUAUGGUGUGGCGGGAAGAGAAGACACCAUGAAGAAAACCCACAGAGAAGAAGUGGGUAGUGAAGUAGGAGAAGAACAGGAAAGUCCCCAGGGCUGAAGAAAGAGGAAGGGCUGAAAGGCCUGAUAAAAAAUGGUAAGUGCCACAAACAUCAAGAUGGGGAUUGAGAAAUAGCCAUGAAAUGUGGCAACAGAAUCUUUAUAUUGAAACACUUAAAGCACAGUGGGCAAAGGCUUGAGGAGUUAACUAUUUAUAAGAAAAUGGAUACAAGAGGGGAGAUAAUAUUGCGUGUAGGCUGUUCAAAGACAUAUUAGAGUAAGAAAUAAAGUCUGUAAAAUUGGGGACAGUGUAAGUAUGUUUCUAGGCAGAGGAGAAGAGGAAAAGAUAGAUUUGGAAAAGAGAAUUUAUCUGAAGGAAUAAGGUGCCAGAAGAGAUGGGAGAGGUGAAGUACCCUUAGCACAGACGGAGGGAAUGAUUUUGGCAAGGAGAAAGGCACCUCUUUUUCUGAAAAGGGAGUGGAAGAACAGUAGGAACCUGAAAGUGCCAAGAAAGUUAGAGGCAGAAGUGGAUAGACAUAGACGAAGUGGAGGAAAGAGUAGAGGAGGGAUGUUGUGACAAAGGAUCUAUCUUCCCAGUCAAUGUGGAGGCAAGACCCAGAUUGGGUGGGUGGACUGAGAGGCUGAGGACUGAGGCAAAUGAUUUCAGCAGGGAUGGAGAAAGAAGCGACAGAGAGUCAAUUAAAGAAUUGUGAGCUGCUGGGGCACCUGGAUGGCUCGGUUGGUUAAGCGAUCAACUCCUGAUUUCUGCUCAGGUCAUGACGUCACAGUUGGUGGGCUUGAGUGCCACAUCAGGCUCUGUGUUGACAGUGUGGAACCUGCUUGGGAUUCUCUCUCUCUCUCUCUCUCUCUCUCUCUCUCAAUCUCUCUCUCUCUCUCUUUCUGUUCCUCCCUUGCUCAUGCUCUCAUUCUCUCUUUCUGUUCCUCCCUUGCUCAUGCUCUCUUUCUCUCUCCCUCUGUCUCUCUCAAAAAUAAAUAAAUAAACCUAAAAACAUUGUAAGCUGCUGUGAGGUAGUUUACAGUAAAUAAGAUGUAAAUGUUUUGGUGGUUCUCAUAUGCACGAUUUUGUGCCUUUUAUUUUCAUGUGGGGGGCUAAGAGUUGAAUUGUAAAAAGUCGAUUUCCCAGGGCUGGGGAUGGGCAGAACUGAAAAUUAAAGGAUAUAAAGUGUCUAGGACUCUAAUUAAGGCAGCUUCAGGUUGCUGGAUCAGUGUUUCAGGAUGAAUGGUUAGGCACCGAACUCAUAAAGUUACACAUAAACUAGAUAAAGUGGAGGGAUUAGGGACUGGCCAACUUGCUGGGUGGUAGAACAAGAUCAGCAAUAUUAUUUAUUUCUUCAGGAGUCAGGGUGACCCUAGCUUGGAUCUUGGUUAUAUAAGAGUAUGAGUGGCGUUAAAGGCAUAAAGGAUUUUGUUAACACUGUCUUUUUAUGAGUUAGAUGAUUGUAUACAUUCUAUUAAGCAUUGUGACAUAGUCAGACCUGGCAUGGAAUUAUUCCUAAAGCACAAGAACUCUUUGAUAAGCAUUUCCUGGGUAUCUAUAAUAAUGGAACAAAAAAGAAUUACGGAGAUCGCAACAAGUUUUUUAAUCAACAAUUAAUCCUAGGAACAAGAUGUAAAGUUGCGUUCAUUACAGAAAAGCUGCAUUUACUUUAUUAUUCUAACAAAUAAAUAAUUUGAAAUAGUUUGAGGAAAUUGAUAAUAAGAGGUAAGGACAAAGUUCAGACCCCUGGAUCUGAAUAACAAUGUCAUUGGAUAAAGCUCCCUGGUAUUUCUGUAGUUAUGUACUUCUUUGUUUAUUGGAGCUCCACUGAGAAUGUUUAAUUUAUCAAAACAAGGUUCUCUUUACAAGAUGGUCUUAUGAACAACAUAAAGACCACAGUGUCUUAGAUGAGCUCCUGCUCAACCAUAAUUAGAAAUCGACACUCUAAUUUUCCAAGCCAUAUUGCUAGUGAAGUUAAAGUCUGAUAAUUUCUACCAACCGGUUGGUGACUGUGCCAGGAGUUUCUAGAGAAUGGUCAGCAUGAUGAGGGAAGUAUAUGUGCUCUCAACUCCUGCAGGCAAGUCUGUAAUUCUCACUCAUCAGCUGUAUCAGGUGAGAUGACAGCUUGGAAGUCUGAUGUGUCUGUCGCCUCCCUGUGAAUUAGAAGAGAAUUAGAAAAGGAGAGAAAAGAAAAGGGGGAAAAAUGACCUCAUUAGAGGGAGAAAGCAAAAAACCAAACUGCUUGCUGCUUGGACACUGGAUAUCGGGAGACAAAACUUUCCAACACACACAAAAUAAAUGGAAAAGAGCCAUCACCAACCAUGAAAUUAGCACAGAAGGAAUUCAGCUGAACUUCACCUCUGUCUAGAAACUGGAUUCUGGUGGUGGUUCUGAUGAGCAGAUGGAUAGUAUUGAGGAUGGGGAGGCAUCAGUCCAUUCAUUUAUCUGGAGGAAUUCAAAGGACAAACGGGAAAGGUUCUUAUCUAAGUGAGCUUAAACUUCCACUGAGGCACAAGGCGUAUGUCUAGAAUGCUUUACUUAGAAAUGGGCUCUGAUGUUGUGCAUUAAUUUCUUAGUGAAAUACCAUCUUUAAAUGAUUUGAUCAGUUAGUCAUCUGUAGCUACACCCAAGCAGCAACUCCGGGCCACCAAACUGGUAAAAAGAGUCUGCCUUAAGUCAAUAGUAAAGACAAAGGCGGUUAAUCCUCCAAAUUUUCAAGUGUUUUCACACAUGCCAUAAUUCUGUGUUAUGGGAGUUACUUUAGUCAUACCACAUAGCCGGGAGGAAGAUGUGCAUCAGGAAAAUACUUUCUGGGGGAUUCAUUGCCCUCAGCAUUGUGCAAGUUAAUUAGAAAUUAGCUAUUUGGGGGCGCCUGGGUGGCUCAGGUGGUUAAGCGUCCGACUUCAGCUCAGGUCACGAUCUCGCGGUCCGUGAGUUCGAGCCCCGCGUCAGACUCUGGGCUGAUGGCUCAGAGCCUGGAGCCUGCUUCCGGUUCUGUGUCUCCCUCUCUCUCUGCCCCUCCCCCGUUCAUGCUCUGUCUCUCUCUGUCUCAAAAAUAAAUAAACGUUAAAAAAAUUAAAAAAAAAAAGAAAUUAGCUAUUUGUGUAUUACAUAACUGAAAUGGUUAGGAUGGUGGGUCAUGUAAUAACAGGCAAGAUUUUCUUUAGUAUAGCUUUUUCUGUGCACGGAAAUAGCUUUUGUUUUAUUCUAUUACUGAAAGAUAUUGAAAUGUGGUUGUAGCUACCUCGUGUUGUAAUGCCUGAUGUGAAAGCGGGAGGUGUCUAUCCUUCCCAGGCAUCUUGGAUGUCAGGACCUUUCUGUCAUUCAUCCUUUUGAUGGCAAGCAGACAUAGUGCAUGGUACAAAUAAAAAUGAUUUUUUUUUUCUCCUUGUUUCUCUUUUUUCCCCUAAGGAUUUGACAAUUACAGACCUUCUCAGAUCUCUUUCCCUUUCAAUUCUUACAUGAAUAUUUGUGACAAGGAUAUCACAGAAUGACCGUUGUUUGUCUAUUGCAAGAUUUUUUUUUUUUUUUUCCUUCUGGGAGACAUCAGACAUCAUGCUCAGCCACUGGGUUGCUGUGUUUUGUGAAGUCUAGCUGGUCAGCUGGAGGGGGCUAGUUCCUCUAUGAGGCUUUACAGAAGCACCAUAGCAUCAAAAUUUGGAUCCUAUCUGAGAGAAGAUGGAAAAUAAGCAGAAAUGAGUUGUAUCUUUGUGCCUAGAUUUAAAAACAGGACUUUGGAUUCCAGGAACAAGAAAACUUGAAAGGGAACUAACUACUCUCAAAUUGACCCUGUCAGGUGUUCAAAGAUUUCCCCAAAGUUAUACGUUUCUUUUUAUUUUCAGCUGUACAUGAAGAUCGUUAUCUUGCUUUAACCUGAGCUUUUUCCAUUCUGAAUAAUAAAAGAUGAAAUAUUAGAUAAAUAACAUUCUAUUUCCAUUACUCCCAACUGGAGGAGUACCACAGUCUUUUAUUUGGUGAUUUUAUUUCUACUGUUUUGGUUUCUCUUUGUUUUUAAUGUAGCAAAAAGAACUAUUUUUAAAAGUUUUAAAAGGUAUCACAUUAUGCUAUACCGCUGAAUAAACCCAUCAGUGGUUCUAGGUGUCUGUUUUAAAACACUCAAUUUGGCUUGAUAGAACUUUUCUCAAUCAAGUGUUAUUAUUUACUUAAUCUGCUUGUUUAUUUACUUAAUGUCUGUUUCUUCUAUUGAACUAUUAGCUUGAUGUGGACCAUAUCAGUUUCUCCAUCUAUUAUUUUUUAUAACUCAUACAGCAUGAACAACACAGAAAUAUUUUCUGGCCACAUGGGGCUUACAGUUUAGUGGGGGGAAAAAUCAAACAGGUUAUAACUUAAACUGUGAUAUUCAACUUUAGAGAAAAUAACACCUCAGGACUACAUGGCAGGAAUAUCUAGCCAGCCUGGGAGAUGAGAUGGGUUCAGAAAAAAAUGUCUGGUAUUAAGUGAUAUAUAAGCUGAAACUCAAAUGAAGAACGGAAGCUAACCAGCCAACGAAGAUGGCUUAGAAUGUUUCUGGAAGAGGGGGGAGAUGCUAAAAGAAUUAUAUUAUGAAUGCUUGUAAUAUGGUUCAACGUGGAUGGUCCUUGGUGUGUGAGUGACACAAAAGGAUGCUAGACAGACAAGAAGGAUUGUAUGAACCAUCCCUGAACUCAAGAGCAUCAGAAAGCCACUGAAGUGUUAUACACAAGGAUUCAGAGGACCACAGUAACACAUUCAAACUCUUGGACUUCAUUGUAGAGAAUGACCUGGGGGAAGGAAUGGAGGCAAGCAAGUUAGAGGACAGUUUCAAUAACCCAGGUGAGUAACUAGGGUGACUUAGAAUGGGAAAAUGAUGGAGCUAUUGGGAAAAGAGAAAAAAACCUGAAAAAAUUAUUAGGCGGUAGGCUGAAUAAGAGUUGAUUUUUGACUGAAUACCGAAAAUGAAGGAGAGGAAAGAGUCAGGGGAAACUGAUUCUGGCUUGGGCAGUGGGAAAUGCCUAAGGAGAAACUAUUUAGUGGAGAGGUAGAGAUGACGCAUUCAGUUUUGGCUAUAAGCUUAAGAUGCCCAGCAGCCAUUGGGGCACCUGGGUGGCUCAGUCGGUUGAGCGUCCCACUGGGCUCCGGUCACGAUCUCACUGGGCUCAGGUCACGAUCUCACUGUCUGUGAGUUUGAGCCCCGCGUGGGGCUCUGUGCUGACAGCUCAGAGCCUGGAGCCUGCUUCGGACUCUGUGCCUCCCUCUCUCUCUACCCCACCCCCAUCACACUCUGUCUUUCUCUGUCUCCCAAAAAUAAAUAAACAUUAAAAAAAAAAGAUUCCCGGCAGCCAUCAAAGUUGCAGACACUAGUCCACAGUGUCCCCGGCAGAAGAGGAGCUUUACAAAAGCGCUGAGAGGAAAAAAGGUUAGAAUUAUAGACGUCAAUGGAAGAAUAUGUUCCAAGGAAGGAGUGGUUAACACGUAAUGAAAAAUCCCCAGUAGAUGCACAAAAAUAAUCAGUCACCUAAACAUUAGUGGCUUUGGUCGCAUGGUAAGGGAGAAAGCUGGAUUGCAGUGGGAUAUAGAGAAUGGAAAUUAAAAUAGGUAACAUUUACAAGGUGCUUAAAGAAGAAGAGACGUAGAGGGGUAACUGGAAGGGUAUGUGCAGUUAGCGAAUUUUUUUUUUUUUUAAUAUAACUGAUGCUCAAACAUGCUACCUACUUUUGCAAAACAAGCAGGAGAGAGUAACUGAAGGCGCCAAAGUAAUUGGAGAAAGUGUUCAAAUCUUUAUAUUCCAGAAUGAUAUAUGAUUUUACAAUAUGUAGGUAAAAUCAAAUAUCAGAAUAUUAUACUAAUUAUACCAAUAAAAAUUACAGCAGUAUUCUAUUUUCACGCAAUUUCCAUUGUCUGCCAAACAUAAUAAAAAAUGUGUUAGGAGUGGAGCUUAUUUUGACUCAUAACUUCCUUAGUAUGAACUUAGUUUGGAUUUUAUUAUUUACAAGAUGUUUUAAGUUGAACUUUUUGGAGCAUAUCCAUCCAUUUGUUACACACUUCAUGUUAAAAGUCUUCAACUUUCUGAGUAACAGUAUUGAGCAUUAUGUUAAACAGCCACAGGGUGCAAAGUUAUGCAAAUGUCUUGUUCAGGGUAAAGUAAGAAAGUUUGUUGUAUAAACUAGUCAGAUAUGUUACACUGAUGAGAGCAAAAUAAGUCUUGACACAUUUCUGGCAAGUGUAGAAAACUAUGAGAUGUAUUCUCUACCACACACGAAGAGUUGCAUCAGAGCAACAAAGGAUAUCAUUGUUGAGUCUAAAAAAGGCCAGGAAUAUACUGUACUUGGGCAGACCCUGCCUCCUUCCCAGGGGGACAAGCACAGAGACCUCGAUGACUCUCCAGGUUGAACCAAUUCAGCGAUUUUGAAACUAUCUGAUAGUUCAGACUGGAAAGUUAGGGGCCACCAUUGAAGAGCUCAAGAGGUGACAAAUUCCACAAGGAUGUGCAUUUGGUGAAGACGUCCCAUGUGAGCAGACACUAAUCAGCUCCUACACAAGGUGAAUGGAAAUCGCAGGGAACUCAUGGAGAUUAUUAGAGAGAAAAAAGAGUUGGAAGUUACUUUCAUUUGAUCCACACUUCUUUUUUUUGUUCUAUGGAUAAAGUUGUGGGAAUCAUUCCAGAAAAUAAAAUGGAAAAUGCAAAUGUUGGUUGUUUGCCCAAUAACAGAAACUGUUGUGAUUUAAGUUUUUGGAAGGUUUGAAAUGAAAGAGAGUCCAGGUAGGGUAAAUCAAACCAUCAUCUGUUUUUGUUAAUAAAGUUUUAUUGGAACACAGCUUCACUCAUUUUUUUUAUGUCUUGUCUGUGGCUGAGGCAUAGUCUUGUGAUAGACACUUUAUGGACUGCAAAGCUGCAAAUAUUUAUUAUUUGGUCCCUUAGAGAAAAAGUUUACCAGUUCUUCAGUCUGGUGAGUGAGUUUAAUUUAACAGUUCUUUCUUUCCAUAGGUUUCUUGCUUUCAUUCCACCUAUGAAAAUAUGCUGAAGCAAAGAGUAAAUGUAAAAGACUUAAUUUGUAAAUUUGUGUAUAUGGGACUAAAGGCUUAAUUACCUCUCAGUCUUCGUUGAUUUGAGUGGAAACUCAUGGGAGGUCGUAGAAGAAAGGGAAGUGUAUAGAAGUAAAUAGUGACAGCAAAAUUGCUAAGGAAACCUCAAUUCGUGAAGUCAAAUGCACUUGCAAAGAAAACAUUUCCAAUUUUAAUAUUUCAGUAUCUUGUCAGAUAACACAGAGUCCAUUUUUAAAUUUUUUUUAACGUUUAUUUAUUUUUGAGACAGAGAGAGACAUAGCAUGAAUGGGGGAGGGGCAGAGAGAAAGGGAGACACAGAAUCGGAAGCAGGCUCCAGGCUCUGAGCCAUCAGCCCAGAGCCCGACGCGGGGCUCGAACUCGAGGACCGCGAGAUCGUGACCUGAGCUGAAGUCGGACGCUUAACCGAUUGAGCCACCCAGGCGCCCCCAGAGUCCAUUUUUAAAGGCCUUAAAAAUAAAAUAAGAUGGGUUUCAUUCUUCUAUGUUCUCUUCUCCUCAUAAAGUGUUCAUUUCUUUAUAAGGAAGGAAAUAGAAGGCAGAGAAAGAAAAUGUGGUAUCUAUUGAAGUGCCUUUUCUCUACUGGGUUGUGGUGAAAUGAAAUCUAAACUCUCCAAAUAAACACUAGAAUGCUCUUCUUAUGAUUUGCUCUGUUAAACUGGGGCUUCAUUUCCACACUUCUCAAGAACUUUUUCUGUGGUAGGUUAUCAGAGAAUUUUUUGGUAAGUGGAGUUUGAAUAACUUCUAUUACCUGUUCUUAGGCAAAAAUAGAUACCAAAUGCUUAAGAAAUACAUGCCCUCUGCCCAAGAAAUUUAUUUACUUCAAAAUCAUACUAAACACAUUAAGGCUGUAGCCAAAUAUUUAUUAUAGAAGGUACAAGACAAAAUUGUUUAUAGUAGAUAAGCAUGAAACAUCUCUAAAUGACCUGUAUUACAGGGUUUGGUUAAACAGAUUAUGGUCUAUACAUUAAAUGGUCUGCUUAGAGUCACUGAAGGAUACUGUAGGUAAAUAUUUCUUAAUGAAAAAUGUUCAUAAUCUCAUCUACAUGAAGGAAACAAGAUACAAUAUGGUAUGUGCAUUUUGGUCUAGUUUUUAUUUAAAGCUAUGCCUUAUAUCCCGUUUCUUAAUCUUAAAUUUUUUUCUUUUUUUUUUUUCAACGUUUAUUUAUUUUUGGGACAGAGAGAGACAGAGCAUGAAUGGGGGAGGGGCAGAGAGAGAGGGAGACACAGAAUCGGAAGCAGGCUCCAGGCUCUGAGCCAUCAGCCCAGAGCCCGACGCGGGGCUCGAACUCACGGACCGCGAGAUCGUGACCUGGCUGAAGUCGGAUGCUUAACCGACUGCGCCACCCAGGCGCCCCUCGUUUCUUAAUCUUAAAGUUUAUGAGUUUUUAUGUGGUUUAGUUUAGAAAUACACACAUUGAGUUUUUAACUGUGAUUAUUUUAACAGUGGAAUUAUAGAUAUUUUAAACGUUAAAAAUGAUACAUUCUCGUUUUUUUUCUAAACACAUAAGUUUUCUUUUUAUAUACCAGUAUUAUUUUGCAUUUUAUGAAAGGCUACUAUCUAAUAAUUAAAUGUAGAAAUAAAGUUGCAGUAUAUUUCAACUUCAAUUGAAUAGUUUUUGUUCAGUAUUUAAAUUUUCCCCUGAUGGGGCACCUGGGUGGCUCAGCUGGUUGUGUCCAAUUCUUGAUUUUGGCUCAGGUUGUGAUCUCACGGGUUCGUAAGUUUGAAGCCCAUGUGGGGCUACACACUGGCUGUGCAGAGCCUGCUUGGGAUUCUCCCUCUCUCCCUCUCUCUGUCCCUCCCCUGCUCAUGCUCUCUCUCUCUCUCUCAAAAUAAAUACAUAAAACUUAAAAAAUUAAAAAAAAAUAAUUAUGGAGUUACUUUGAAAAGUUUCUGAAAUGCAAAUGACACUGCGUUUGAAUUAGAUUCACUUGGGUAAAAAGCUGAGAAAGAUUUCUCUUGAUCUUAACAGUCCUGACUGAGAAAUGACCAAGGCUAUUGAAUUAGAUGGACUUUGAAGUUGAUUUCUAGUCUCAUAAUUUCUUAACAUUGCCCAGAGAUACGGACCUCAGGUCCUAAUUUACUUCACAUCAGAGACUCUGUGUUUAGAAGUCUACAGGUGGUGGUAGGAGUGAACUUAUGGUGGUUAAAAAAUUCACUCUUAAGGGGCACCGGGGUGGCUCAGUUGGUUAAGCGUCAGACUUCGGCUCAGGUCAUGAUCUCACGGUUCAUGAGUAGGUCAUGAUCUCACCAUGGUUUGUGAGUUCGAGCCCCAUUUUGGGCUCUGAGCUGUCAGCACAGCUGACAAUCCAGAGCCUGCUUCGGAUUCUGUGUCUCCCUCUGUUUCUGUCCCUCCCUUGCUUGCACUCUCUCUCAUUCUCUCUCUCAAAAAUAAAUAAACAUUAAAAAAAUUCAAUCUUCCAAAUAAAGAGUCAAGUUUAGUGAUGAUCAUUUUGCAAAAAAAUGGUAAGAUAAACUUAAUAAAGGCUGUUGUCUGGUUCUUUAGUUCAGUGUGUUAGUAAAGUAGAUGAACUUUCACAUCCUGCCAUGGUUGGGGUCAUGGUCAUGAAUCUAAGGCUUCCCUUGGAAAGGAUCAAAUCCAUGUUUAUGUAACUAUGUGUUUUCUAUUAUAGGUGAUCAUUAUUUGUUAAAAUAACUAGCCAAGAUUUCAUUUCAUUUCCUUUUUUAUUUAAUACAACUUUAAUUUUAUUUAUUUUGAGAGAGAGAGAAAUAGAGCGUGAGCAGGGGAGGGGCAGAGACAGAGGGAGACACAGAAUUUGAAGUAGGCUCCAGGCUCUGGGCCGUCAGCACUAACCCCAAAACGGGGCUUGAACCCACAAAAUGUGAGAUCAUGACCUGAGCUGCAGUUAGAUGCUUAACCAACUGAGCCACCCAGGUGCCCCUCCAAGAUUUAAAUUUUGAUGUGCUUUUAAUGAAUAACUUGUAAAGCAACUUGAAUUUGUUUUCUAAUCAGAUAGUCUGAUUAUGUAGUCCUUUUGAUUGACUGAACAUUGGAUGAUGUGAAUGAUGUGGUCUUCACUAUUUUUGGUGCAUGUUGGGGAUAUUGUACUUGUAAAAUGUGAAGGGGAAAAAGAUCUUUAUCUCAUCCUUUCCGUUGAAACCUAAACUUAAAAAUGUUUUAUUUUUCUUAAAACCACAUACAGCAAUUUUCCUUGGAAAUUCUUGUAAUGAAAUAUUUUAGUUAUUCUGGGAAUAUAAUUAUUUUCAAUGAGUAUUUGCAUUUUUAAUUUCUUUUUUUUUUAACAUUUAUUUAUUUUUGAGACAGAGAGAGGCAGAGCAUGAACGGGGGAGGCACAGAGAGAGACACAGAAUCGGAAGCAGGCUCCAGGCCCCCAGCCAUCAGCCCAGAGCUCGACGCGGGGCUCGAACCCACGGGCCGCGAGAUAGUGACCCGAGCUGAAGUCGGACGCCCAACCGACCAAGCCACCCAGGCGUCCAUGCAUUUUUAAAUAAAUUAGUAUUUGCCAAAGGUUAGUGGGUACUCUGAGGCACUGUCUGAGUCUUGUAUGCCUUUCAUGCAGUACUUCUGAUAGAGCUGAUCUGACUCAUAAGAAAUCGUUGAUAAAAAGAACACUGACCUAUAUGGGUUUAAUUUUACAUAUUCUCAUAUACGAAAAGAACUUUAUUAUUUUAACAAAAGGCAAGUGAAGGGGCACCUGGGUGGCUCAGUCGGUUGGGCGCCCGACUUCGGCUCAGAUCAUGAUCUCACGGCUUGUGAGUUCCAGCCCUGUGUCGGUCUCUGUGCUGACAGCUCGGAGCAGGGAUCCUGCUUGGGAUUCUGUGUCUCCCUCUCUCUCUGCCCCUCCCCCGCUUGUGCUCUGUUUCUCUCUGUCAAAAAUGAAAAAAUGUAAAAAAAAAAAAAAUGUAAAAAAAAAUAAAAAAAAGGCAAGUGAAAUGUCUGACUUGCUAUUUACAUUUGAAAAACUUGGAAAGAAGAAAUAAAAAAGUAAAAUUGUAAUGUAGAAGAAAGCAUGAAGCACAAACGGAUAGAACUGAAAAAAAAAAUUAAAGAAAUGCACACUUACAGUUUGAGACUUCAAUAUUUUUUCUCAGUAAUUGAUAGAGCAGGUAGAUAGAAAAUCAGUAAGGAUACAGAAAUCUUGAAAAACACAAUCAACCAACAUGACCUAAUUUAGAUUUAUAGACUAUUUGCCCACACACAGCAGAAUAUACCAUCUUUGCAAAUGAACAGGAGAGGAUCACCAACAUCCACCAUAUUCUGGGCCAUAAUGUGAACCCUAACACAUUUAAAAAAUUGAAAAUAAUGUAAGCAUAUUCUCUGAGUAGAAAGAAAACGAAACAAAACAAAAACAAACCCAGAAGCUGUUGAGUAAACCCCAAACUUGAAAAUAAGCAAUUUGAAAAUUGUCCAUGGUUCAAAUAGAAAGUCUCAAGGAAAAUUAAAACUUUGAAUGGGAUGAAAUGCAAACACAUUAGGUGGAAUGCCAUUGUAGCAACAUUUAAAGGGAAUUUUUUUAAGAUUGAACAGUGUCUUAGAUAAGAGAAAAUGUCUUAAAUUAGUGAUCUUUAUUUUACCUUAAGAAAAGUAGGUAAAGAAGAACUAAUUAAAUUUAUGCCUAAAACGAAUAUAACAUUGUGUGUUAAUUACACUUGGAUUAAAAUUAAAAAAUUAAAAUUAAAAAGCUUAAAUACUCUAAAAAACGAACUAAUUAAACUCAAAGCAAACAGAAGAAAGUAAAUAAUAAAGAUGAAAAAAGAUAGAAGAAAUUAAAAUUAGAAAAAAAAAAACAGAAAGUGAUAUGUGAAACCCAAAACCAGUUCUUUGCAAAGAUACAUGCAAUUGAGAAAUCUCUUAACAGACUAAGGAAAAAGAGAGAAGUCAGCGUUACUAAUAUCAGGAAUGACACAAAGGACAUCAUGACAGAUACUGUAUGUAUUUUAAAAAUGAUAAAAUAAUGCUCACUCAAAAAGAAAUAGAUAACCUAAGUUGGUCCUUUUGCUACCAAAGAAAUAGAAUUUGAGAUGAAAACGUAACAAAGCAAAUUCAAGGCUCAGGUAGCUUCACUGGUAAAUUCCACUUAACAUUUAAGAAAGAAAUAGUACUAAUUCAAUCCAAGCUUUUAGAGAAAAUAGAAAAAGAAGACACUCUACAACUCAUUUGAUCAGGCUAGCAUCUCCUUGACACCAAAACUAGACAAGAGCAUUCCAAGAAAAGAAAACUGCAUAUCAAAAUCUUAUACGAACAUAGACACUACUAUGCUCCAACAAAUAUCAGCAGAUUGAAUCCAUUAAUAUAUGAAGAAAGAUGAUAUCAUGACCAAAUGCAGUUUAUUCUAGGAAUACAAGUUUGGUUUAAAAUUUGAAAACGAAUUGAUGCAGUUCAUUAUAUUAAAUGCUGAAAAAAAUCACAUGAUUAUCUCAAUAUGCAGCAAAAGUAUUUGACAAAAUUAAGUAUGCAUUCAUGAUAUGAACUCUCAAUAAGCUAAGAAUAGGCAGGAAAUUCCUCAUUCCUUAAUCCUUAAUUAAGGGUAUCUUUGAAAGACAUUCAGUUACCAUCAUAUUGAAUGGUGACAGGCUCUUCUUCUAAGAUUACAACCAAGGCAGGGGUGCCUGAGUGGCUGAGUCAGUUGUACGGUUAUGCAUCCAACCCUUGAUCUCAGCUCAGGUCUUAAUCUCAGGGUCACGAGUUCAAGCCCUGCUUUGGGCUCCAUGCUGGGCAUGAAGCCUACACCCCCCCCCCCCAAAAAAAAAGGACCAAGGCAAAGAUGUCUACUAUCACCUCUGCUAUCCAUCAUUGUUCUGCUCAGUGCAAUAAGUAAAGAAAUAAAAUAAAAAGCAUUCAUGAUCCGAAAUGAACUGUCUUCAUAGAUUACACGAUUAUCUAUGUAGAAAAUUCCAAAAAAUCUAUCCAAAAAAAAGUGACCCAAACUAAGUAAGUUUAGCAAGUUUAUAGGAUAUGAGGUUAAUGACAAAAAAUCAACUGUAUUUUUAUACACCAGCAAUGAACAAUCAGAAAUUGAAAUAAAUAUGCGAGUAAUCUGAAUGUAAAAAACAAAAUCAUCACUGAUGAAACAUAUCAAAGAAGACCUAACUAAAUGGAGAAAUAUGUUGUGCUUAUGUUAGAAUAUUCAAUAUUCAGAUGUCAAUUCUCCCUAAAUGGAUUUAUAGAUUCUAUGUGAUCCCCCUAAAAAUUUCAGCAGAUUUAUUUUAGUAGAAAUUUACAAUUUAAAAUUUAUAUGAAUAGCCUUCUUAGCAGAGUGGGAAGCAUGUCAGUCUCAUAAAAUAUAUAUGAAAAGGCAAAAAAAAAAAAAAACUAGAAUUGUCAAAAUAAUUUUGAAAAAGAACAAACUUAGAGAACUCAUACUACCUGAUCUCAGGACUUGCUAUAAAGCCAUGAUAAUCGGGGCACCUGGGUGGCGCAGUCGGUUAAGCGUCCGACUUCAGCCAGGUCACGAUCUCGCGGUCCGGGAGUUCGAGCCCCGCGUCAGGCUCUGGGCUGAUGGCUCGGAGCCUGGAGCCUGUUUCCGAUUCUGUGUCUCCCUCUCUCUCUGCCCCUCCCCCGUUCAUGCUCUGUCUCUCUCUGUCCCAAAAAUAAAUAAAAAACGUUGAAAAAAAAAUAAAGCCAUGAUAAUCAAGUAAAAAUAAUUUUGGCAAAAUGAUAAACAUAUAGAUCAUUGGCAUGGAAUAGAAUUCCCAAAAAUAUACCCAACUCUGUAUUGCCAAUUGAUCUCUUAUGGUCAAUUAUGUUUUGAUAAAGAUGCAAACCUAAUUGAAGGAAGGAAGGCUAUCAUUUUAUUAAACAAUACUGGAAAAAUGGCUAACCUUAUGAAAAAGAACAUUGGUUCAUACCUUCACACCAUACAGAAAUGGUUCAUUAACAUCAAUUUAAAAUUAAAAACUAGUCAAUUUGUUAAAAAAAAAAAAACAGAAAAAAAUCUUUGAGACCUUUGGGUAAACAAAGAUUUCUUGGCUAUAACAGCAAAAUCAUGGUGCAUAAGAAAAAUAAAAGACAAACUGGACUUUAGCAAAAUGACAAACUUUUAUUCCUCAAGAUAAACUUUCAAAAAAAUUAAAAGAAAAACAUUUUCAAAACAUAUAUAUCAUAAAGGAUUUUCAUUCAGAAUAUAGUAAGUACUCCUAAAACUCAGAAACAAGAAAUCAAUCAAUCCUAUUAAAUUAUGGGCAAAAUAUCUGAAUAGAUAUUUCACUAAAGAAAAUAUGUGGAUGGCAAACAAGCACAUGAAAAGAUAUUCAACAUUAGUUGUCAUUGGUGAAAUUUAAAUUAAAGCUGCAAUGAAAUAUCACUGUGUACCUAUUAGAAUGACUACAUUUACAAAACAUGAAACAAACAAAAACCUGAGCACAGCAAGUGCUGGUGGGGAUGUAGGGCAGGCAGCUGAAACUCUCACUCAUUGCUGGUGAAGUGCAGAAUGGCGGAGAUGCUUUGGAAAAUAGUUUGACAGUUUCUUAAAAGUUUAAGCAUGUGCUUACCAUAUGCCCCAGUAAUCACACUCCUAGGGAUUCACCUAAUUAAAAUGAAAACCUACGCUCACGGACACAUCUUUAUGAGUUGGUUACAAUGCUUGUAUUUUGUAACAGGUAAAAACUGGAAACAACUCCGCUGGUGAAUAGAGAAACUGAGGUAAAUCCAUGCAAUGAAAUAUCAGUCAGCAGCAAAAAGGAACAGAACUGCUGACGCAUGCUACAGAAUGGAUGAAUCUUGAAUUAAUACGCCAAGUGAAAGAAACCGAUCACAAAAGGCUACAUUAUUGUAUGAUUUCAUUUAUAGGAUAUCCUGAAAAAAUAACACUAUAGGAGCAAAAAAUAGAUCAUGGGUUGUUGCCAGUUUUUGUGGGAUCAGGAGUGGUUAAUUGCAGCGGCAUGAAGGACUUUUUGGGGGUGAUGGAACUGCUCCAUCUACCCCUUGAUUGUGGAGGUGGUUUACACAACUUUAUGUGUUUGUCAAAACUCACAGACAUUUACAUCAAAAAACGUGAAUAUUAUUGUAUGCAAGCUUUGCCUCAAUUAACAAAAUACAGAAAAAACAAGAGGUGAGAAAAUGUUUGAAGGAAUGAAAAAUAGUUUCUUCAGAAUAAAAGAAAGAUAUAAGACCUGAGAUCAAAAGACGUCAUGGAUUGUAGCACAAACCAGAUAAGAAAAAAGUAAAAAUCAAAACCCCCUACACAUUGGCACAUAAUAGUGAAAUUUAAGAACAUCAAAGAAGAGAAGAUUCUAAAGUCUUAAGGGAGAAAGAGAUGAUAAUUUACAAUGGAACAAGAAAAAAACUGAUAUCACAGCCAACACCAGGUAAAAGAAUAAAAAGAUAGUGAUAUUUUCCAUGUUUUAGGUAAAGGACCUUCAAAUCCAGUACCCUGUGGCCAAAUAAACUAACAGUUACAUGUGAGAUUGUCACAAAGCUAUUCCCCAGCAUAAUAUUGGGUUUAAAAGAAUCCUUUUAAUGUUGUACAAAGAAUUACUUCAGCGGGAAGAGAAACACAUCUAUUAGUAAAUAAAUGCACACACUUACAUAAAAUGGUGAAUGAAUAGCUUAGUGAAGUUCACUGUUUUUAAAAAAGAAAGAAGCAAAACCAAUCUGUGAUAAUCAACCGAAAAUACCAAUAGGACACCAAUAGGGCAAAUGGGGCAGGAGUGAGAUGUGUGUAAUGGCAGAAUCAGAAGGGGGCAAAGUCUGGUAAUUUUUUCUAAUUUUGGUACAUAAAUAGUGAGAAAUGUCAAACGUUAUGUGUGGAAAAAUUUUAAAAAUGGGUAUUAAUAAAUUAAAAGCAAUAACUGGAGAAUAUACUUCCAAAUGAGCAGAAAAAAGAGUUUGGUUUACGCAAUAAAAACAUAGAAAGGACAAAAAGGAUUUUAAAAAUGAUAAUAUGGUAAAUAGAAAAUAUAAAAUAAAAGACCAUACAUAAAUCCCAAAUGAAUAUACAAAUGAAUUAAGCCACUCAGUAAAAUCAGAUAAGGUAAAAUUUGAGAUAAAGCACAUGUUGGGAGCAAAAGGGGAUGCUAUAUAAUAGUAGUAAGAAUAGAUCAAGAAGACCAAAAAAAUCACAAAUCUUAUGAACUAAUUUGCAGAGAUUCCAAAAACUAUAGGAAAUAUCUAUCUAUCUAUCUAUCUAUCUAUCUAUCUAUCUAUCUAUCUAUCAUCUAUCUAUCAUCUAUCUAUCUAUCUAUUUAUAUUUAAAUUCAAGUUAGUUAACAUACAGUGUAUAUAGCCUUGGAUUCAGGAGGGAUUCAUCACUUACAUAUAACAUCCAGUGCUCAUCCUGAAAAGUGCCUUCCUUAAUGCCCAUCACCCAUUUACCCCAUCCUCCACCCACCGCCCUUCCAGAAACCCUCAGUUUAUUCUCUCUAUUUAAGAGUCUCUUAUGGCUUGCCUCCCUGUCUCUUUUUAUCUUAUUUUUCCUUCCAUUCUCCUGUGUUCGUUCUUCUGUUGAGUUUCUCAAAUUCCACAUAUGAGUGAAAGCAUAUGAUACCCGUCGUUUUCUGAGUGACUUAUUUCACUUCGUAUAAUAGCCUCUAGUUCCAUCCACAUUGUUACAAAUGGCAAGAUUUCAUUUUUUUUUCAUUUUGGAGUAGUAUUUCAUUAUAUAUAUUAUAUAUAUAUAUAAUUCAAAUUUCAUUAUAUAUAUGUGUAUAUAUAUGUAUAUAUAUAUAUGUAUAUACACAAACCACAUCUUCUUUAUCCUUUCAUCACUCGAUGCACAUUAGGGCUGUUUUCAUAAUUUGGCUCUUGUCAAUAGUGCUGCUAUAAACAUUGAGGUGCAUGUGCCCCUUUGAAUGAGCAUUUUUGUAUCCUUCGGAUACAUUCCUAGUAGUAUAAUUGCUGGUUUGUAGGGUAGUUCUAUUUUUAGUUUUUUGAGGAACCUCCAUACUGUUUUCCAGAGUGGCUGCACCAGCUUGCAUUCCCACCAGCAGUGCAAAAGAGAUCCUCUUUCUCUGCAUCCUCGCCAACAUCUAUUGUUUCCUAAGUGGNNNNNNNNNNNNNNNNNNNNNNNNNNNNNNNNNNNNNNNNNNNNNNACUCGAUGCACAUUAGGGCUGUUUUCAUAAUUUGGCUCUUGUCAAUAGUGCUGCUAUAAACAUUGAGGUGCAUGUGCCCCUUUGAAUGAGCAUUUUUGUAUCCUUCGGAUACAUUCCUAGUAGUAUAAUUGCUGGUUUGUAGGGUAGUUCUAUUUUUAGUUUUUUGAGGAACCUCCAUACUGUUUUCCAGAGUGGCUGCACCAGCUUGCAUUCCCACCAGCAGUGCAAAAGAGAUCCUCUUUCUCUGCAUCCUCGCCAACAUCUAUUGUUUCCUAAGUGGUUAAUUAUAGCCAUUCUGACAGGUAUGACGUGGUAAGUGGUUUUGACUUGUAUUUUCCCGAUGAUGAGUGAUGUUGAACAUCUUUUCAUGUGUCUGUUGGCCAUCUGGAUGUCUUCUUUGGAAAGGUGUCUGCUCAUGUCUUCUGCCCAUUUCCUCACUGGAUUAUUUGCUUUUUUGGGUGUUGACCUUGGUAAGUUCUUUAUAGAUAUUGGGUAUUAAACCUGUAUCAUUUGUCAUUUGUAAAUAUCUUCACCCAUUCCAUCAGUUGCCUUUUACUUUUGUUGAUUGUUUCUUUUGCUGUGCAGAAGCUUUUUAUCUUGAUGAGAUCCCAAUAGUUUAUUUUUGCUUUUAUUUCUCUUGCCUCUGGAGCCAUGCCAAGUAUAAAGUUACUGUGGCCAAGGUCAAAGUGGUUGCUGUCUGUUUUCUCCUGUAGGAUUUUGAUGGUUUCCUGUCUCACAUUUAGGUCUUUCAUCUAUUUUGAAUUUAUUUUUGUGUAUAGUGUAAGGAAGUGGUCCAGUUUCAUUCUUGUGCAUGUUGCGUCCAGUUCUCCCAGCAUCAUUUGCUAAGAAGACUUUUUUUUUCCAUUGAAUACUUUUUCCUACUUUGUCAAAGAUAAGUUGGCCAUAUAUUAGUGUGUCCAUUUCUUGUCUUCUAUUCUAUGUGUCUAUUCUAUUGUCUUCUAUUCUUGUCUUCUAUUCAUUGAUCUAUGUGUCUCUUUUUGUGCAAUACCAUGCUGUCUUGAUGAUUACAGCCUUGUAAUACAGCUUGAAGUCUGGAAUUGUGAUGCCUCCAGCUUUGAUCAUCUUUUUCAACAUUACUUUGGCUAUUUGAGGUCUUUUGUGGUUCCAUACAAGUUUUAGGAUUGUUUGCUCUAGCUUUGAGAAGAAUGCUGACACAAUUUUGAUUGGGAUUGCAUUGAAUGUGUACAUUACUUAGAGCAGUAUCAACAUUUCAACGAUAUUUGUUCUUCCAACCCAUGAACAUGGAAUGUUUUUCCAUUUCUUUGUGUCCUCUUUAAUUUCUUUCCUAAGCUUUCUAUAGUUUUCAGCGUACAGAUCUUUUGCAUCUUUGGUUAUGUUUAUUCCUAGGUAUCCUAUGGUUUUUUGUGCAAUGGUAAAUGGGAUUGAUUCCUUUAUAUCUCUUUCUGCGGUUUCAUUAUUGGUGUAUAGAAAUGCAACCGAUUUCUGUACACUGAUUUUAUAUCCUGAAGCUUUGCUGAAUUCAUGGAUGAAUUCAUGCAUGGUUUUUUGGUGGAGUCUUUUGGGUUUUCCAUGUAGAGUAUCAUGUUAUUUGCCAAGAGUGAGAGUUUGACUUCUUCUUUGCCAAUUGGAUGACUUUUAUUUCUCUUUGUUGUUGGAUUGCUAACGCUAGGACUUCCAGUACUAUGUUGAACAACAGUGCUGAGAGUGGACAUCUUUGUCGUGUUCACAAAGCACGUGAGGGGGAAAGCUCUCAGUUUUUCCCUGUUCAGGAUGAUAUUAGUUGUGGGUCUUUCAAAUAUGGUCUUCAUAUGUUAAGGUAUGUUCCUUCUAUCCCUACUUUGUUGAGGGUUCUUAUCAAGAAAGGACACUGUAGUUUAUCAAAUGUUUUUUCUGCACCUAUUGAAAGGAUCAUAUGAUUCUUAUUCUUUCUUUUAUUAAUGUGGUGCGUCAUGUUGAUUGAUUUGCAAAUACUGAACCAGCCCUGCAGCCCACGAAUAAAUCCUACUUGAUCAUGGCGAAUAAUUGUUUCACUGUAAUGGUGAAUUCAAUUUGCUGGUAGCUUGUUGAGAAUUUUUGUAUCUGGGUUCAUCAGGGAAAUUGGUCUGUAAUUCUCCUUUUUAGUGGGGGCUUUGCCUGGUUUUGGAAUCAAGGUAAUGCUGGCUUCAUAGAAUGAGUGUGGAAGCUUCCCUUCCAUUUAUAUUUUUCAAAGACGUUUAAUGAUAAUAGGUAUAAACUCCUGUUUAAAUGUCUGUUAGAAUUCCCUGGGGAAGCCAUCUGGCCCAGGAAUCCUAUUUCCUGGGAGAUUUCUGAUAACUGAUUCAAUUUCUUUACUGGUUAUGGGCCUAUUCAAAUUUUCUACUUCUUCCUGUUUGAGUUCUGGUAGUAUGUGAGUGUCUAGGAAAAUGUCCAUUCCUUCCAGAUUGUCCAGUUUGUUGCCAUAAAUUUUUUCAUAGUAUUCUCUUAUAAUUUUUUGUAUUUCUGUAGUUUUGGUUGUGAUUUUUCCUCUUUCAUUUGUGAUUUUAUCUAUUUGGGUUCUCUCUCUUUUCUUUUUGAGAAAUGUAGCUAGGGGUUUAUCAAUGUUUUUAUUCUUUUAACAAAGCAGCUCUUAAUUGCAUUGAUCUGUUAUGGUAUUUUUUCUAUAUCAUUUAUUUCUGCUCUAAUCUUUUUUUUAUUUUCUUUCUUCUGCUGAUUUUGGGCUUUAUUUGUUGCUCCUUUUCUAGCUCUUUUAGAUGUAAGGUUAGGUUCUAUGUUUGGGACCUUUCUUGCUUCUUGAGAUAGGGCUUAAUUGCAAUGUAUUUUCCUCUUAGGACAACCUUUGCUGCAUCCCUAAGGGUUUGAACUAUUGUGUUCUCAAUUUCAUUUGCUUCUAUGUAUUUUUUUAAUUUCUUCUUUGAUUUCCUAGUAAACCCAUUCAUUCUUUAGUAGGAUGUUCUUUAACCUCCACAUAUUUGAGGGCUUUCCAAUUUUUUCCUUGUGGUUAAUCUCAAAUUUCACAGCGCUGCAAUCUGAAAAUAUGCAUGGUAUGAUCUCAGUCUUUUUGUACAUGUUAAGGGCUGAUUUGUGACCCAAUAUGUAAUAUAUUCUGGAGAAUGUUCCGUGUGCACUCAAGAAGAAUGUGUAUUCUGCUGCUUUAGGCUGAAAUGUUCUGAAUAUAUCUGUGAAGUCCAUCUGGUUCAAUGUGUAAUCAGAGGCAUUGUUUCCUUGUUGUUUUUAUGCUUAGAUGAUCUGUCCAUUGCUGUAAUUUUAGUAUUGAAGUCUCCUACAAUUAUGGCAUUAUUAUCAAUAAGUUUGCUUAUGUUUGUGAUUGAUUGAUUUACAUAUUUGGGUGUCAUCAAUUUGGGGGCAUAAAUAUUUACAAUUGUUAGCUCUUCUUGAUGGACAGACCCCUUAAUUAUGAUGUAAUGCCAUUUUUCAUCUCUUAUUACAGUCUUUGAUUUACAGCCAAGCUUGUCUGAUAUAAGCCUACUCCGGCUUUCUUUUGACAUCCAUGAACAUGAUAAAUGGUUCUCCAUCCCCUCACUUUCAAUCUGCAGGUGUCCUCAAGUCUAAAAUGCGUCUUUUACAGGCAGCAUAUAUAUGGAUCUUGUUGUUGUUGUUGUUGUUGUUGUUUUGUCCUUUCUGAUACCCUAUGUCUUCUGAUUGGGACAUUUAGUCCAUUUACAUUCAAAGAGAUUAUUGAAAGAUGUGAAUUUAGUGCCAUUGUGUUUUCUGUAGAUUUUGUUGUGGUGAUGUUCUCUGGUCCUUUGUAGUGUUUGCUGCUUUCCUCUCAUACAACCCUCCUUAGGAUUUUCUGCAGGUCUGGUUUGGUGGCACUAACUCCUUUAGUUUUUGUUUGUCUGGGAAAGUCUUUAUCUCUCCUUCUGUUCUGAAUGACAGCCUUACUGGAUAAAGGAUUCUUGGCUGCAUAUUUUUCCUAUUCAGCAUAUUGAAUAUUUCCUGCCACUCCCUUCUUGCCUGCCAAGUUUCAGUGGACGGGUCUGCUACUAACCUUACGUGUCUACCCUUGUAGGUCGAGGACCUUUUGUCUCUAGCUGCUAUCAGAAUUCUCUAUCUUUGUAUUUUGCAAGUGUCACUAUGAUUUGUCAUGGUGACCUGUUUUUGUUGAUUUUGAAGGGAGUUCUCUGUGCCUCUAGGAUUGGAUGCCUGUUUCCUUCCCCAGAUUAGGGGAGUUCUCAGCUAUAAUUUGUUGAAAUAAACCUUCUUCCCUUUAUUCUCAUUUUUCUUCUUCUGGGACUCCUAUGAUACGAAUAUUUUUCAUUUCAUGGCAUCACUUAGUUCUCUAAUUCUCCCCUUCUUGUGAUUUAGUAAUUUCUUCCCCUCUUUUUUAUGCUUUAUUAUGUUCCAUAAUUUUAUCUUUUAUAUCACUUAUUCUCCCCUCUGCUUUUUCACUGUACCCAGUUUAUUUUGCAUCUCAGUUAUACCAUUUUUUAAUUCAUUCUUACUAGUUCUUAGGUCUUUGAUUUGUGAAACAAGGGUUUCUCUGGUGUCUUCUAUGCUUUUUUCAAGCCCAGCUAUUAGUGUUAUUCUAUUAGAACAGCUAUUAGACUGUUAUUCUAAACUCUUAUUAAGAUAUAUUGUUAUAACUGUUUUGAGCAAUUGUCUAGCUGUGAUUUCUUCUUGACCUCUCUUUUGGGGAGAAUUCCUCCAUCUUGUUAUGUGUCCUGCACCUGAAAGUUCUGCUAUAUUAAAAAGGGGUCAUACACUGUCAAGGGCCUGGCACUCCAGGAAGUGUUUCUAGUGUAUGUUGCAUGCAUUCUGUUGUUGCAUUUUGGCUGCUUUAUCCCAGAGGUCAGCCCUUUGCAGAGCUCCUCCUUUCUUUCUAUGGUGGAGUGUUUGGAUCUUUAACCAGGAGUGCUUUGAUUUGUUUGUUUAAGAAACCCUGAAAAAAAGAGNAGAAAAAAAAGGGGGGGGGAGCCUGAUCCCAUAAAGAGAGAAAAAGGAAAGGGGAGAAAAGAAAACCAAACAGAGAAUCAAAAAAACUAUAAGGCUAAUUCAGGAGAAAGAGAAAGGGGAAAAAACAAAAAAGAAAGAAAAGAUGGAAAAAGAAUAGAGUAAAAAUGCUGGAUAUAUAUAUAUAUAUAUAUAUAUAUAUGUUAAGAAUUGACCAAAAAAAAAAAAAAAAAUCAAACUAAGAGACUGAUUCCAAAAGAAAAAAAGGAGGAAAGGAAAAAAAAAUUGUCUGUUGUUGCCUGGGGCUGGUGGAUGUGCUGGUCUGGAGGAGAGGCUGGCUACGUUGGAUCAGUUAGUCUUACUUCAGUAAAUAACCAGCUGCCAGGCACAGAGGGGUGGGAUAGGUGUAAGCAGGUCCUGCCUCGACUGGGGGCUGCUGUGCUGCUCUCUGAAGUCCCACUGUUACUGGUGGAGGGGAGGCAUUUCAUCACCCCAAUCUCUCACCCCUGGACUAGGGCUCUCAACCCACACUGUUCAGGCAGCUCUCACAGAAUAGUGAGGAUGGUCAGCUUGCCCUGAGUCACAGUUCUUUUGAGCUUCUCCUUGUCUCUCAGCUGGAACUAAAAACCCAAUGUAAAUGACCCCACACUGUGCAGAUCUUCUCCCCUGUUCCGGAGUAGAGCCUCUCCACCCUGCUGAUGAAAGGCCUUUGGUGGCACCUGCAGGGUCGUUUGUCCUUGGGGAGGCAAUAACCCUUCUUCCCAAAGUACUCCAGGAAGGGGUCUGUUCUCUCCCAGUGCAUUCUGGAGAUCACUACACCAUACUGUUCACUCCGGGGUCAGCUCCCUCCUCCCCAGGAGCACACAGCACAGCUCCCCUCCAGAGGAAGUUGCAUACUUUCAAAACCUCUGAGUUUUAGCUCCAAAGGCUGUUUGCAAAAAAAGAACUAGCAUUCUCCAUACUUCUCAUUCCCCAGUCCGAGUUCCAGAGAGGUUUUCCCCUUGUGGUAACUCAAUGCCGCACUUUCACAACCCCUCUCUCUUUUGCUCCCUUUUGUCUCUCCACAGAAAAGGUUCUCUCCCCUCCAUAGCUAUGCCAUUUUAUCUCCACCAAUUCACGUACAUACACCUCAAUCCUGCCAAGAUGUCUCCCUCCAACUGUGAAGAUCCUCCUCCACUCCUGAUGUAUUUCCUGGGUGUUCCAUGUAAUCCGACCUCAAUAUAACUGUGUUUGAGGGAUGAGGAAAAUCCAGAUCUCCUUACUUCUCCACCAUCCUAACUUCUCUCCUGAAUAGCAAAUACUCUUUUUUUUUUAAGUCUUUUUUUUUAAAUGCUUAUUUACUUGAGAGAUAAAGAGAGAGAGAGAGGGAGGGAGAGAGCACAAGCACNGGUAGGGGGGGUGGGGCGGGGUCAUAGAGAGAGACACACAGAAUCUGAAGCAGGCUCCAGGCUCUGAGUUGUCAGGGCAGAGCCCGAUGCAGGGCUAGAAUCCUUGAACUAUGAGAUCAUGACCUGAGCUGAAGUCAGAUGCUUAACCAACUGAGCCACCUAUGCACCCCAGCAAAUAUUCCUAAUGGAAGUUUCAUUUUCAGAUUAGGAAAAAAAACAAGGCUGCUUGUUAUCACUACUCCUUUUUGGCAUAAUACUGAAUAUUUUACCCGACGCCAAAAGACCAGAAAAAGAAAUGUCUUAUAAGCAUAAGAAAGAAGAGACAGACAAUGGAGAAGACGUGAUAACCACACAGUAAAUCUGUAAAAUCAACUAUAGGAAAUCAAAGCUACAUUGAAGUUACAUAUUCUGUAAUGGGUUGUUGACAGAAAAUACAUUGAACAUAUACUUUAAAUUAGACAAGUACAGAUGUGAUGUUUAAUUUUAUUAUUGAAAAUAGUUCUUUAAAUAAAAAUAAGAAGCAAAAACAAAGGCUUGUACAUAUGAAGUGAAGAAAGGUAGCAAAAAUUUAGAAAAACAAAGAUUAGGAAAAUAUUUGACAAGAAACUAUUAGGUUGUUAUUAAUUAAAUCUUUUCCAAUAUAUUGUAAUUUUUAAAUUACUGCAUCUCUGACUAGUAAGAUUUUGUUAAUUUAUUUCUUUUAUUUUCAUGCCAUUUUCUUUUUUUUUUUUUUAAUUUUUUUUCCUUCAACGUUUAUUUAUUUUUGGGACAGAGAGAGACAGAGCACGAACGGGGGAGGGGCAGAGAGAGAGGGAGACACAGAAUCGGAAACAGGCUCCGGGCUCCGAGCCAUCAGCCCAGAGCCUGACGCGGGGCUGGAACUCACGGACCGGGAGAUCGUGACCUGGCUGAAGUCGGACGCUUAACCGACUGCGCCACCCAGGCGCCCCUUUCAUGCCAUUUUCAAAGACAUGAAAACAAUCCACAAACUUUUGCCACUAGUGUUAUUUUUCUUCCAUUUAAGAGUUGCUGACUAAUAACAAAAUAAAAUUUGAUUUGCAUGUUUUCUGUAUACUUCAAGCCAUAUUUGAGUAAGUGCACUCAAGCAUGAUAAAAUAUCAUAAAAGAAGGUAGCAAGGAGUGUGUGGGUGGCUCAGUUAGCUAAUCUGGGUCUUGAUUUCGGCUCAAGUCAUAAUCUUACAGUUCAUGAGAUCAAGCCCUAGCAUAGAGCUCUGAGCUGGUAGCUCAGAGACUUCUUAGCUUCCCUCUCUCUUUUCCCCUCUCCCCAGUUCUCUGUCUGUCUGUCUGUCUCUCUCAAAAUAAAUAAAUAAACAUUAAAAAAAGAAGGUAGCAAGACUGAGAAAAAGUUAAAUUAGAUCAUAAAUCACAAACUAUAAAUUCUAUAACCUAUUAAGUAGGACUAUCCUGAUCUGAGAAAACAGAAGCUAAAGAUUUGGGGUAAGAAAACUACCAUAUUUUCAUUGCCCUGAUGGGGAUCAUAGACUAAUUCAAAAACAUGUAAAAAUCUCUAUACCCAUUGUUUUAUCAGCCAUGACCUUACCGUCAAGAUCUGUGGAUGCAUUCAAUUAACCAAAACAUUGUUUUUGGCUAAAGAAAACAUCCAAUUUCUGACAUGGCAUGUUUAAACCAAGCCUUUCUUUCUUGUCCAUUUAAAUGUAACAAUGUCCAGGUAUGUAUUUCAAAAGCUCACUUCUUCAAGAAACUGUACUCAGUUUACAUAUUGUAAACAUCUGUCCUUUAUAAGGUAUUGUUCUCUGCCUUCUCCCUCUGAUUCAUUUCUCCUUUUUUCCACCCUGGACAGUGUUGCUCUUGGCAUAGUGUACAGAUUAAAUAUUAUCCUUUUUUUUCAGUCCAUUUCCUUCUCUGAGGGAGAAAACCAUAUUAAUAAUUAUACAUUAUGUUCUUAUAUUCAUAUAGUAUAUUUGAUAUGUCAAGUUUAUAAACAAGGUUUGCCUUACUUUAUCACUUAGAUUUAUUGGGGAACCAAAAUAUCUUAAUGAUUGCCAAAAUUUUAAAUAUAUGAUUCAGCUCUCCCUCUUAUUUUUUUAAUUUUUUUUUUAAGAUUUUGCAUUUUUUUUUGAAGUAAUCUCUGUAACCAGCAUGGGGCUCACAUUUACAACCCUGAGGUCAAGAGUUGUAUAUUCCCCCCAACUGAGCCAGUCAGGUGCUCCUUAGCUCUCCCUUUUGAGUUCCAAAUCCACAUUUCCUUAUUUCUACUUACUUUUUUAAAGUUUAUUUAUUUAUUUUUGAGAGAGAGAGAGAGAGAGAGCACAAGUGGAGGAGGGGCAGAGAGAGAGGGGGGAGACACAGAAUCUCCAGGCUCCAAGUUGUCAGUACAAAGCCUAAAGUGGAGCUGAAACUCAUGAACCAUGAGAACAUGACCUGAGCCAAAGUCAGACGCUCAACCGACUGAGCAACCCAGGUGCCCCAUUUCUAAUUAAUUUUGUUAUUGUAUGCCUCAGCAGCACUUGACCCUCAAUGCAUGGCUAUUUAUUAUCUUUCUUUCUAGAUAUCGGCUCUUCAUAUUCUUUUUCUCAGUCUGGUCAAUAGACUCAUCGCCAAUGUUAAAAUAAUCAAAGAGAGCAAUUUAGUUGAUAUAAACAAAUUGUAUGUCACACCUUAAGAAGUGUGCAGUCUCUACUCUCAAGAGUCCAGAGAAUUACAAAGUAAGGGGAAAGGGCUGCAAGCUUUAUAGAAAAAAGGAAAGCUGGAAACAAGAGAGUCAUACUCAGCCUCACUUGACUGGCUGGGGCUGCGUAUCCGAUCUUAUUUAGAAAGAUCAAGGAACACCAAAGCAAAUGUAGUGCCCAAAGGUGUCUUGACUUUUGAGAAUUGACUGGCUGGGUAGAGAGAAUAGACCGACUGAGAUCAUGUUUCUGGUCGAGCAAAGCAUUUAUAGGAGUAGGAAUUCUCUUAGUUUCAGUUUGCUGAUGGGACACUCUGGGCAAGAACAGUUCCAUCUUGGGCCUAGAAAUUUAUUCAAUACCAAGAUGUUCAAGUUAGGGAGGCAUCAUUUCAGAAGCUAGUGUAAUACUGUGAGGCAUGGGGGAAAGUGUAGUGUACUUAGGUGUGAAACAGCAAUGGGUCGAAUCCUUACAGUGUGACUUUCUAAAUGUGUGCUUUAACCUGGUUUACAAAUCUGGAAAAUCAGAAGAAUAAAACUCACUUUAUGAGUCUGUUGUGAGAUUUAUAUGAGCUAAUGUGUGUAGAAUGUUCUGUAAACAGCAGUAAUUAUCAAGAUCAUUUUUCAUCUUUCCUUUAGCAACAGCAUAUUCUUGGUUAAAGUAUUUGUACUUUCUUACACUCUCUCAGAUCUUUUUCUUUCUCCCUUCUUUCUAGCACUUCCCUGGCUCAUCUCUCAUCUAGAUUACAUCACUAAUGACCCCGUCUCCCCGUCUAUGUUCCACACCUGUGUACCUCCAUCCAUCCUCUACACUGAAAGAAGUGAUCAUAAUCAAGUGCCAUUCUGCUUUUAUUGCCUGGCUCUUUAAAAUCCUUCAACUGGUUCUAGAAAUGAAAGAGAACACCCUGUGUUAGUAAGCAUGCCAGCAAAUGGCAUCUCAUAGUUAGUAAUGGGAAUGAAAAUUGGUAUUUUUCCAGAAAGCAAUUUGUCUUAUGUACCAAACACCUUUAAGUAGUACUUCCUGGCCCAGCAGUGCCACUUACAUUUUUUUUUUCUGAACUAAAACAAGAAAACAUGCUCUGGAUUUCUGGCAAAGCUUCUUUUGUGGCCGAACUUUAAAUUUUUUUUUUUCUAAUUUAUUUUUGAGAGAGAGAUGGAGAGACAGAGCUCGACCAGGGGAGGGAAAGAGAAAGGGAGACACAGAAUGUAAAAUAAAGCAGGUUCUAGGCUCUGAGUUGUCCACACAGAACCUGAUGCGGGGCUCAAACUCAUGAGCCAUGAGAUCAUGACCUGAGCUGAAGUUGAACACUUACCCAACUGAGCCACCCAGGCACCCCGUGGCCAAACUUCUAAAACCCUUCUCAAUAACUCAGCAAUAUGUUAGAAGAAAAACAAGACUAGGAAAUAUUAAUAAUUAAAAAGAAAACUCCUUUUAUUAGUGCCAAGAGUACAAAAUGGCAACAAUAUAUCACAAAACCAAAGAAAUGUGUGCAAGUCUAGAGAAAAUUCAAUCAGCUCGAAAGAACCAAGACUGACGAAGAAUUUACGGUUGUAGAAAGGUGGAGAAAAUUCUGGUGAGAAGUGGGACAUAUGGUUGAUUUCAAGAGAAGUGGGGACACUAUUUAUCGCCCAUUGCUCCAGGUUACUAACACCUCAAGCCUAUUAAAAGCAGGACUGUGGUAUAAGACCUGUGGUCAAGCCACAUGAUUAUUUGCAGAUAGAAUUUAAAGCACAUUUAAUUUUCUUCUUUAUGUUUUCCCCAUUUAAAAUUUUUCAUUGAUGAAUAGGAAUUAAUUUAUGGAAUGGAAUAAAACAACAAAAUAAAUAAAAAUCAAUAAAUAUAUCUUGGUGGCUCUUGAAUAUCCUUCCUAUAGAAAAAACAGGUAUCUUCUCCCGGUUUUCUACUGUUGCUAGGCUGAAAUAUUUAGUUUUCCAGAACAUGAUAUUCUCUUUUUCUCUUCUAUAUCUUUGCAACUGCUUUCUCCUGCAAUUGUCUAGGGAGCUUCUUGUAACCAUUUGUUACUCAACUAAAAUUUACCUCCUUCAUGAAAUAUUCUGUGACACGUUUGGGCGUAAUAUAUGUUUCCACUUUUGUGAUCCCAUUGUGCUCUGUCAACAUCUCAGUUGUGGUACUUACACACGGUGUCUUCUUUGUGUACAUUCUUCCUCCUGCACCAUGAGAGCUAUGGGACAGCAGGCAUUGUGUCACUUUAAACUUCGUGUGAAAUUUACUACAUAUUUUUUAAACCAACACAGGAAACAGGCAUUCAUAUUUCCCAUUUUCCAGUCUCUUCAUUGAGCUGAGGGGGCACAUUUCUCGCAAUAUUGCCUAGAGGACAUUUUGUUUUUUUUAAAUGUAUCAUUGUAUAUUACAUUUCAAAAUAGUAUUUAACUGCUUUUUAUCCAUUCUACAUUUAUUUAUAUUCCAUUUAUUCUUCCAGAGCAAGGAGAUCAUGUUUCUUGUGUUUGACUUGCUUCACAUGCACGAUAAGUUGUAGGCACCUGGAUUCACUUAAAUUGUUUCGCAAUACAAUGACCUUAUUUUCAUUCCAUCAAAAAUAAAAGCUAUUACAAUUACGAAGUGUAUUUAUUUCCCUGAUGUGGAUGUAAAGGGCUUUACAAUACACUGUGCAGAGGUGGGCACCCUUACAAAGGCUCAGGAAAACAAACUGAUUGCUUUUUUGGUUUUCUCUGUGCUCACCUGCCAAGAAACAUUCUGAGCUGAAGGUUAGAGUUUAGGAGAUUAGAUUUAUGGAAAUUAGAAAUAUGUUCCCAUGCAGAAUGUUUUGUUAAAAGAUUUUAUGCUCCUAUUUAGUGAAUCUUAGGCUUAUUUAAAGUAAACCACUAAGUUCUUCCCAGAACCUCAACUAAACCCAAUCUUUGGAGAAAAAUGUAAGCCAAAAAAAAAAAAAAAGUUUAAUUUUUAAGUAAGAGGUGAAUUUCAAAAAAAAAUGCUUAAAGAUUUUGAUUUUAUUCUGGAAAUUAUUAUUUUUUUUAACAAAACCAUUAAUUUGGUCCUUUCCAUAAUUUAGACAAACUACUUUUCACAGUCUGCCAUCUUUUUGACAAAUUAGAAGGGUCAAGAUUUUUAUGAAGUCAUGGACCCUGUCAGAACACUUCUAGGUUUGCAUUUUUUUUUCCAGCUAAGAGUAACAAUAUCCACAAAUCAUACUUCAACUAAGAUUCUUACCUGAAAUUGCCUUGAAAUAAGUGAAAAUAUGACAGAAGUUUUUCUCAAGGUAUGCAACAUGUUACUCUCCAAGUUUGGCUGAAAUCUGAAAUCAGUGUGAGCCUUGACAGAAAUGAAAGAGGAGAAGGGUGAGGAGAGGGGAGAAGAAGAGGUCAAAGAGGAGGAAGAGGAAGAAAUCUUCCAUUAAGUAGAGGUCAAAAGUACUUUGCCAAAAUGUGAGUUUGCAUUGUAUUAAAUCAUAUUUUAUCAAAAUCUGUGUUCUUAGUUUUCAUUGUGAUUCCCGGUGUUAUCUGUGAAUCACUGGAAUAACCACAUGAACACAUACUAAAGAUUACGAUGCAAGUAACACAAUUCCAUUUCCAGCUUUCAGAAUUACCGUGUUGGCAGUUUGACAGCUUUUUUAGGCCAAGAGUAAAGGGAAAACAAAUUUCCACGGAACUAUUGUUUCUUUCAAACACAUGAUCCAGACUUGCACAGAACCAUCGUAAUUGCCAUUCACACUAAAGAAAUGCAACUUUGUUAUAGGAAAUUUGGCGGUGGUGUUAAAAUGAUUGGUGUGCAAAGAAAUUAUUUUUCCUUAUGUGUUUCCUGAAGUAAUGGGUUAAAUACUAUGAUACGCUGUGGGCAUGUCACAAGUUGACUCAGUGACUCACAUGUUGGCAGUGGCCAAGUAAAUAGAGCUACUGUGUCUGAAGAGAACAGGUAGCUAGCUGCUUUCUCGACCGUUCAAUAUGGAAGGUAGCGUUAAAGAAUUUCAAAACGAAGAAUAUUUGCAAAGACUUGAUUUCUGGAUCUUUGAAUUUUGUUACAAGAUUUUUCAUUAAAAUAGAAUGGAAACCUAAACUUCAAAACCAAGUUUUGCGACAUGUGAGGUUUUUAUUUGCCUUCCCCAGUCCAUCCUUUUAAUUUUUUGAGGUUAAUCACUUUGACAUAUUUUUGGAUUUCCUGUAUUGUAGAUUCCCGUAGGAUAUUAAAAGUAUAUUUUAAAAUUAUUUUUUUCGACAGAGGAAUGUCCUAUUUCCAGGAUAUAUUCCAACAUAAGAUAGUAGAGCUGGAUAUUAAGCGGACGAGCCUCACUAUUCAAGAUCUCAGUCUGGGAAAAUUUACUUAACAAUUGUUAGUUAUAAGUAAUUUCUCUUGAGGAAUUUGGAAAAAUAAAACUCUUCAGAGUUGUUAAUUGUACUAGAAAUUUCAUGUACUACCUUGGGCUUACUAGAAAGCAUACUGGCUUUUCUAAAGUCACACAAUACAAAAUCUAUGUACAGAAAUCUGUUACAUUUCCACACUCCAAUAAUGAAGCAGUAUAAAGAGAAAUCAAGGCAUUGAUCCCAUUUACAAUUACACCAAAGACCAUAGGACAGCUAGGAAAGAACCUAACCAAAGAGGUGAAAUAUUUAUGCUCUGAAAACAUAAAACACUUAUGAAAGAAAUUGAAGAUGACACAAAAAACUGGGAAAACAUUUCAUGCUCAUGGGUUGGAGGAACAAAUAUUGUUAAAAUGUCUAUACCACCCAAAGCAUUCUACGCAUUUAAUGCAACCCCUGUCAAAAUACCAACAGCAUUUUUCACAGAGCUAGAAAAAAUAAUCCUAAAAUUUGUAGGGAACAAUAAAAGACCUCAGAGAGCCAAAGCAAUCAAAAGAGAAAAGCAAAGCUGGAGGCAUCAACAUUCUGGACUUCAAGUUAUAUUACAAAACCGUAGUCAUCAAGACAGUAUGGUACUGGCACAUAAAUAGACACAUAUUCCGGAACAGAAUAGAAAACCCAGCAAUGAACCCACAGCCAUAUGAUCAACUAAUUUUCUACAAACCAGGAAAAAGAAUAUCCCAUGGAAAAAAUUUUCUUCAACAAAUGGUGUUGGGUAAACUGGACAGAAACAUGCAAAAGAAUAAAACUGGACCACAUUCUUACAUCAUACACAAUAAUAACUUCAAAAUGGUUGAAAGACCUAAAUGUGAAACAGGAAACCAUCAAAAUCCUACUGGAGAAAAUAGUCAGUUACCUCUUGGACAUUGGCCAUUGGCCAUAGCGUCUUCUUACUAGAUAUGUCUCUUGAGUCAAGGGAAACAAAAGCAAAAUGAACCAUUGGGACCUCAUCAAGAUAAAAAGCUUCUGCACAGCAAAAGGAAACAAUAAAAUUAAAAGGCAGCCUAUGGAAUGGGAGAAGAUAUUUGCAAAUGACAUAUCUGAUAAAGGGUUAGUAUACAAAAUCUAUAAAGAACUUAUCAAACUUAAUACCCCCAAAAUCAAAUAAUCCAGUUAAAAACUGGGCAGAAGACAUGAGUAGACAUAUUUCCAAAGAAGAUAUACAGAUGUCUAACAGACACAUGAAAAGAUGAUUAAUAUCACUCAUCAUCAGGGAAAUACAAAUCAAAACUACAAUGAGCUAUUACCUCACACCAGUAAGAAUGGCUAAAAUUAACAACACAGGAAACAACAGGUGUUGGGAGGAUGUGGAGAAAGGGGAACCCUCUUGCACUGUUGGUGGAAAUGCAAAUUCAAAGUAUUUAUUGAAUCUUACUAUCAUUAUUAUCACGAUUCUUUUUUUCGGUAUUUCCACACAUAAGGUAAACUUUCCUUUUCUGAGGGAGAUUUUAUCUCAAUCCUUUCUUACAUCUUUUGCACAUUUUUUAAGAAUCUCUGUUCUCUGCAAAUGAUUACAAAAAGAGUUCAAAAGUUGGCUGUGCUGAAACUUUUUCUUAUUUUUCUACUUAGAGAUAACUUGUCUGUCUUCUAGUUUUGCUGAAGGUGUGAGUUUUGUAUGGUUUUGUUCAUUCUUUUAGCUGUUUGGAGGUUGUUUGGAGAGAUUUGGAUUAGGUAGCUGACAUUACCUCAACUGUUCAGUACUCUUAGGUGCAAAGACAUUGAAGGCUGGCAUUGAAGUUCCUUAAACCAAGAGGAAUUGUCUUUAUUUGUAAAAUGAUAAAGCUUAAGAAGCUACUUUUUGGUAUAACAAGAAAACCCAAUGGCAUGGAUAUUAAGAAAAUAAAAAGGAGGAAGAGCCAAUAUUUUCUGUAAGGGUGAUGAACGGAUGCUAGGAAAACAAUGUGGAAAGAGUAGACGAAAGGAGGAAGGUGCAGAAAACUGACCACACAAUAUGGCAGACAUCCACUGAGGAAAUGGACCAUAAGAAAUUACUGAAGGCAGGUCAAAGAAAUAUAAAGAUUGAGAAUGUCAAUAUCAAAAGUAAAAAAAUUUUUGAAGCCAUGUAAAUAAACUUUUCUCUCAUUCCAAAUCAUAAAUUAACAUAUGACAUGUGCAAAUGCUGUGGGCAUGCAGAUUGUAGGGCUAUUCAAAUGAAAGAUGUUAUCUCUUGUGUCUUAGUUGGGUAGAAGGCAGGGGACAUGAGAAUAGAUAUAGGGAAUCUGAUGCCAAUGGCAUUAGCAGUCCAGGAGGGCAGAUAGGCAGAGCCACAGUAACCAUGAAGAUAUGAACAUUAGGAAAUCUCAGAAAUCGUGGGAAAGGUAGUCGAUUUCCCAUAGAAGUGGCAUAAAGUGCUUGAAUCAAUAUUGUCUUUCAGGGGCACCUGAGUGGCUCAGUUGGUUAAGCACCCAACUUUGGCUCAAGUCACGAUCUCACGGUUUGUGGGUUCGAGCCCUGCGUCGGGCUCUGUGCUGACAGCUCAGAACCUGGAGCCUGCUUUGGAUUCUGUGUGUGUCUCUCUCUCUCUGCCCCUCUCCCACUCACUCUCUGUCUCUGUCUCUCACUCUCUGUCUCUGUCUCUCAAAAAUAAACAUCAAAAAAUUUUUUUUUAAAUAUUAUCAGACUUUCAAAUGUCAGGAUGUGCUCAGUCAAUAUAUUCAUCACAAUAUAUUUAACAUAUUAAUUAAUAUAUUAAGAUUCUCUGCCAUUUGAACAGAUAAACAAAAUUCAGACUACUUAAGUUCGAGUUUAUAAGCAUAUUUUGGUCUUAUCAUUCAACAAAGAUAUAUGUACUCAUCCAUGUGAAUAUUUCAGCGUAUUAAAUUUGUCUCCUUAAUUAAGAUAGUCCAAUUGUGUGGUAAGUACUCAAAUUCUGCUUCUCUUAUAAGAUCUCAGAAAAAAAAAAGAGAAUUAGAUAGGAGCUGUGAAGCAGGCUGAGUCAGCCACAGACAUAUUUGAUGGACUGAAGUUAUAUUAGGAAGGGGACACAAGGACAUGUAUAAGUGUAGGUCACACUCUGGGCCUGUUGUGCUUGAUGUUAUAUUCAUUCUUGAUACAAUGACCCCACUGAUGAUUAUCCAUCUCAGAACAGGAAAGGACAGGAACUGGCAAGGUGGUGCUCUGAUCCAAGACUCAUUUACUAGUAAUCAGUAAAUCAUCUCCCACAGAGAGCAUGCUUCAGGACAGUCAUGAGAGAACAAAUAAAAGGAUGGGCAAUGUGUUCUGUUCUGUAUUUUCCAUUAUUUUCUGUCUAUGGUACCCAAGAAAUUGGUUCUCUUUUCCUUUGCUGGAUAUGAAAGAUGCAUAGAACACAGAGAGAUUUUAAUGAAAAUACGUGUAAAUUAGUCAGAAGAUAUUCUGCAAUAGACUGAGGAUAUUUGUAAAGAAGCAUAUUCCAGGGGCCCCUGGGUGGCUCAGUGGGUUAAGCAUCCAACUUCAACUUAGAUCACGAUCCUGCAGUUUGGGGGUCUGAGCCCCAUGUCAACCUCUGUGCUGACAGCUCAGAGCCUGGAGACUGCUUUGGAUUCUGUGUUGCCCUCUCUGCCCCUCCCCUGCUCAUGCUCUUUCUUUCUCUCAAAAAUAAACAUUAAAAAAAGAAAGAAACAUAUUUCUAUACUGUGGCAACGAUUAAACCCAUCUUGUUCAUCAGAAUUAGCCAAAUACAUAAAUGACUUACGUGGUGUGGUGUUUGUAAAGGGUUAUAACGUCCCUUAAUGAGAGGUAUGGUAAGCCACUUUUGUUAACUCUCAGUGGAUCCACUUUUACCUCUUACUGAUCUUAGCUUAGUUUCAUGGAAAUAAUGCAAUUAUGUUCCAGCCUUCCGUUAAUUUUUGGUAACCUUGAUCAAGUUUUGCAGUUUCCACAUCUAUAAAAUUAGGUGGAAAAAGUACAUAAUAUCAAUGAUUACUUUCUGCCUCAGAUCAGGGAUUCUGGGUCUUUUCUCUCAAUUAGAUUACAGGAGCAAGCCAUCACCUCUAAGGAGAACCAUACUGCUAUUCUUUAGGAGAGUCAGAUAGAAAAAAAAUAUCUAUAUCUAUCUAUCUAUCUAUCUAUCUAUCUAUCUAUCUAUCUAUCUAUCUAUAUAGAUAGAUAUCCCAGCUUUUCUACUCAUUAGCUUUGCAAACUCAGACAAAUCACUUAACCUCUCAAAAAGUUUCCUUAUCUACAAAAUUGUAAGAAAGCAAGUUAUAUCCUUAAGGGGUAGGUGAGAGGAUAAAAUGAGGUCAACCCUGUAAAGGGCCUACAUACAAUAUUGGAUACUUAAUAAGUUGUUAUUAAAUGAUUAUUUUCUUCUGUACUUCAAAUAUGCUGUCAUGGUUCCAGAUGGAGCUCUAAUUAUCAGGCCUGCAAACCAAGUAGUAUGUCCGUGAGUACUUCACUCAUUUUAUUUUUACAAACUUCAUAAUCAUUUAACCAAACACUUCUACAGUCAUCCCUUCUGAUUACCUUUCCUAACCCUGAUUCCUCACAUGGUAAUUAUGCACAUGGUAAUUAUGUUAUUUCUGCCAGUCAGAUUGCCACUAACUGGCCUCUGCCAUUCUGAGAUUAUUCCCUCCCUAUUGAAAUAAUGGCUCUAACUUCAACUGUAAGCCCUCCCGUCAACAUCUCUGGCGUUUGUAAAUUAGACACAGAAAGUCCUUUUCUUCAGCGAUAGAGGUUCUCCACUCACCAGUGUUUGCCCAGAGCCCUUUGGUGAAGGGAGUGUUUUUUAAGCUUUCUUAGAAAUCAUAGUUGUGGGUUGGUAGAUGGGUAAUACACAUCAUAAACCUUCCCCGGAAUUUCAUUUUACCACAUCUUUCACUAUGUUUCUUUAAUUUAUAUCAAUGAAUUUAUAGUGUCACAACUUGACAUAUAUGGGUUUAAUUUUUCUAGUCAAACCAACCAUGAGAACCACUUCCGUGUGCUACAAGUACCACAUUGAAUCCAGAAUCUCUGUGAAGGGGCACUGAUAGUGAUGCAUUUAAAUCCACAUUUAUUUUUUAAUCCUUAUUCUUUUAAUGUUUAUUUUUGAGGGGGGGGUGCGGGGGGAAGCAGAGCCUGAGUUGGAGAGCGGCAGAGAGAGAGGGAGACACAGAAUCCGAAGCAGGCUCCAGGCUCUGAGCGGUCAGCACAGAGCCCAACACGGGGCUGGAACUCAUGAGCCUCUAGAUCAUGACCUGAACUGAAGUUGGAUUCUUAACAGACUGAGCCACAUUCGGGUGCCCCUAAAUCCACAUUUAAAUCCCUCCUUCUUAUUUACCCAAGGGAUACGGGAGUACUGAUGCAUAGGGGCACUUGUACCCCAAUGUUUAUUUCUAGCAGCACUCUCAACAAUAGCCAAAUUAUGGAAAGAGCCUAAAUGUCCAUCAACUGAUGAAUGGAUAAAGAAAUUGUGGUUUAUAUACACAAUGGAGUACUACGUGGCAAUGAGAAAGAACGAAAUAUGGCCCUUUGUAGCAACGUGGAUGGAACUGGAGAGUGUGAUGCUAAGUGAAAUAAGCCAUACAGAGAAAGACAGAUACCAUAUGGUUUCACUCUUAUGUGGAUCCUGAGAAACUUAACAGGAACCCAUGGGGGAGGGGAAGGAAAAAAAAAAAAAAGAGGUUAGAGUGGGAGAGAGCCAAAGCAUAAGAGACUUAAAAACUGAGAACAAACUGAGGGUUGAUGGGGGGUGGGAGGGAGGGGAGGGUGGGUGAUGGGUAUUGAGGAGGGCACCUUUUGGGAUGAGCACUGGGUGUUGUAUGGAAACCAAUUUGACAAUAAAUUUCAUAGAUUGAAAAUAAAUAAAUAAAUAAAUCCCUCCUUCUUUGAUCAGCAUUCUCAGAAUCAACUGUUUCACCAGAUUCCAAUAUUUAUGAAAACUUCACAAAAAUCCUGUGAUACUUUUGGUGUGUAAACAUUCCCUUCCGGAUUUAUUCUGUAAUUGGCACGCUGGAGUAUCUCUUUAUACAUUCAAUACAUAUCUGUGAAAUGUCAACCCCAUGCCAGAUGCUAUUCUCAGAACUGGAAAUAUGAUAAGGAGCAGAGCAGAACACAAAUCCCCGUCCUCAUGGAACUCUCACUGUAGCAUGGGAGAGAUAAAAGAAAGUGAUAAACAAGAAAAAUAGAUAUCAUGGUGUAUUUGAUGCCUCUAAGAGAGAAAUGAUGGAUGGAAGGACCGUGUAAGGAAUAUAUGCAUGACAUUUUAAAUAGGAUGGCUACCAGGAAAGCUCACGUUGACAGAAUGUAGAUUUUGAGUGAAGAAAAGGAAGUCAUGAGAUAGUGAGCUAUGCAUAUAUCUGAGAGGGAAUGGCAAGUGCAAAAACCCUGGGGUGGGAGUACCCCUGAUAAAUUAGGGGAACACUAAAUAGGCCCAUAGACUUUAAGCAGAAAGAGUGAGAGGAAAGUAUUAAGACACGGAAUCGGAAAGAUAAUGGGGACUAGGUCAUGUAGGGCCUGUGGGCACUAGCAAGGGCUUUGGCUUAUAUUCUGCAUGAGACGGGAAGCCGUAGGGUAGAAUUUGAACAGAGGAGUGACACCUGAUUUACCUGUACAGGAUCGUUAAAGUUGCUCUUAUGACACCAAUGAGUGUUUUGGGGAAGGGGAUGCAGGGAGAUAAAAUUGAUCAAGUGAAGGGCUAUGGAGACCAUUGGGAGGUUAUUGCAAUAAUUCAGAAGAGAUUAUGGUGGCCUGGACCAGGUGGCAGCAGUGUGCGUGGUUAGGGGUGUCAGAUUCUAGAAAUACACUGAGGACAGAGUGAACAGGAUUCACACGUGGGCUGUAGUAGAAAGAGAGGAGUAAAGAUGACUUCGGGAGUUCUGGCCGAGGAAUCGAAAAAUUGCUGAAUUCCUUUACUGAAAUAGGAGAGACGGUAUGAGGAUCUAGUUUGGUAGGGAUUUUCAGGAACUCAGAUUUGGACAUGUUAGGUUUGCGACAUUUUAAAGGAAACAGUAGGAAAUUAGGUUUGCGUUUGGCCAUUAGGCUUUGUGAUUCAGCAUGUAGAGGAUAUUUAAAGGCAGGGAACUGGGUAGGAUCACUUUGGCAAUGAACGCAGUAGAUAGUGUCGAGCGAGAAAAGAGGCAGACCUGAAAUAAAACAGAAGCAUUUAUUGAAGGUCUCAUAAUUGCAAUUUGGGGGGCACAGAUUUGUGUAAGCAACCCACAUCAUGUCCCCCUGGGGAGCAAAAGUCAGGGCUUUUUAAAGACAAAAGGGCAUGCUUGUAUACAUUGUUCACAAAGAAUUUUGAGUGGUGGUGGUGGCAGAAAACUAAUCUUGGCUACGCAUAAUUGGUUGCUAAGGCUAUCACUAAGCAAAAGUCAGUUAUUGUAGCAAAUUGCAGAUGUUCAUGCCGAGUCCUCGGAAUAUUUGCUCUUUGGCACAGUUAAAAACUUCAUGGUUCCAGUGGGUGAGCAUAUGUCUAAAUUCCACCUCUUUAAUGGCCUCCCAGCUCCGUUUCAAAACCCCUUGACAUAACUGACUCCGUUUUUUUUUAAUGUUUAUUUAUUUUUUGAGAAAAUGCCAGAGGGGGAGGGGCAGAGGGAGAUAGAAAAAAGGAUCCGAAGAGGGCUCUGCACUGACAGCAGUGAGCCUGAUGUGGGCUCGAAAUCAUGAACCGGGAGAUCAGGACCCGAGCCAAAGUAGGAUGUUCAACCUACUGAGCCACCCAGGUACGCCUAACUCCUUCUUAUUUCACCUUUCACAACAGAAAAGGGAAAAGGACUAAAGAGUCCCGUGAGACACAAUAUUUAAAGGUUGAGGAGAUGAGAGGGAACUAAAAUUGUAUCAUGGUAUAGAAGUUUGUUUUGCCUGGCUUUAGUUGCACAAUUUAGUGACGGACAAAGUGGGAUCAUCAUGAGAACUGGCUUUUUCUUGCAGGAUGACUCCUUCAGCUCAAAAUGCAGCAAUGUUCUCAAGCAAGGGAAGAACAUCUCUAUAACACAAAGGUCUAGAGAGCUUUAUUGGGUGUUUGGAGUUUCAGGGCACUCCCAGAACUUGAAAUCCUCCCAGAUAUUACCAUUUCAGUUCUCUAACACUCAUUUAAUUUUGACCAAUGUGCUGUUUAUUUCUCAUGUACAGUUAAGAACAUGGGUUGUGGAAUCAGACAGAUUGUUCUAACAUUGGCAACGUUACUGUCAGCAAUCUGACCUAUGGUGAUUCACUUAAGGGUUAACCUCUCUGGGCCUUGGUUUCCUAAUCUGUGGAAUAGAAAAGACAAAAAUACUUACUCAAAAGGAUUCUUCUGCAUAUUGAAUAUAGUACAAUUCUAUAAUACAAAUAUAAUACAAAUACAAAUAUAAUACAAUACUUAGAACAGUGUUUGGAGCCUAGCAUUUUCUAAGUGUUAGCUAGGACUAUCAUUAGGAGACUUGGUAAGGCUGAGAAGUCAACUGAUAUUACAAUUUGAUCACAGAAUAAAUCUCUGGCCGCAUUCAGUCGUGCAGCUGCCUGAGUUAAGGAAUCAUUUUAAAUGGUUUUACAAAGUCCCUGUGUCUCUAAAUGUCUUUGAGGCGCACCAAUAAUUUGAGUUUUUAACUUUUUAAUGAGUUAAUUUUUCUGUUUCAACUCUAUUUCAUAAUGAAAUAAGGUCGUGAUUUUUUUUUCAUUAUGGAAGUAAUGUGGUUUAUUGUAAAAAAAAAAAAAAAUUACCACUACAGAUACGUAUAAGUUAGGAAGUUAAAAUAAAAUGAAAGCUCUUUACCCUGAGGUAACAUCAACAUUUUGUUGCAUAUUCUUUCAUGCAUUUCCAUAUACAUCCAUGAAGUUCUAUGAGCCCGCCUCUCUCCAGGAGCCCCAAGGACUCAAUGCUACAGAACUCUCAACUUCAAGUCUCAAAGUUCCCUCUGGUACAAGAGGAAUUAAGUCUUAUGCUCAUUUUAUCCAUCAAUAUCUUCAAAGAGCAGGGGUGCCUGGGUGGCUCAGGUCAUGAUCUCAUGGUUUGUGAGUUCGAGCCCAGCUUUGGCCUCUGUGCUGACAGCUCAGAGACUGGAGCCUAGUUUGGAUUCUGUGUCUCCCUCUCUCUCUGCCCCUCCCUGACUCAUGCUCUGUCUCUCCUUCAAAACUAAACAAACAUUAAAAAAAUUAAAAAAAAAAAAAACUUUAAAUAGCAGAAGCCAUUUUGUAAACUGUGACUCCUGAAUCUGCUCUGACUAGAAAAAGUAAAUGGUGGUUGGGUUGGAUUUGAGAGAGAUAGGGUGCAUACCCAAAUUCAUAUCUCUCUCUUUCAGAAUCCCAAUCCUCUUUCAUAAAGUUUCUAGUAACAAUGGAUUAACCAUUCUUGCAUCUCGUGUUUGUAUGUUUCAUGUUUUCAUGGAUUCUAUGGGAUAGGCAAUAUGACUCCCCAGGGCCUUAUCCUAGAAGGUAUUUCAUCCUAGGAGACCAUGGGCAACACAAUUUUCCUCCUUGUAAUGUCUGUUUAUUCAUAACUUCUGGUCAUAAUAUCUCUUGAAAAGUUUACCUUUUUGUGAAUGAAUUCUUUUUUAGUAUAAUAGUAACUAUUUCCCCCUCAAAUGUACUAAAGAUAAAUGCUAUUAGAAGUGAUAUGUCUAGGGGCUCCUGGGUGGCUCAGUUGGUUAAGCGUCCAACUUCGGCUCAGGUCAGGAUCUCACAGUCCGUGAGUUUGAGCCCCGCAUCGGGCUCUGCGCUGACAGCUCAGAGCCUGAAGACUGUUUCAGAUUCUGUGUCUCCCUCUUUCUCUCUCCUCCCCCGCUCAUGCUGUCUCUCUCUUCUCAAAAUUAAAUAAACGUUAAAAAAAAUUAAAAAAAAAAGAAGUGAUAUUUCUACAUUAUGUUUUCAGUCAAAGACGUACUCAUCAAUAGACUUGACACAACAGUUUAUAGUCUGAGAAUGUUAUGUAGAACAAUGGGUGAAUUCAAAAUUGUUCUUUGUGUACACAUGUCAAGUGAAGGGGGUUGACUAGUCUGUUUUGUGCAUGCGCCAAUUUUGUAUCUUAAAGUAAUCUCAUGUACAGUUUUUUUUUGUUCUAAAAAUGGUUUCUAUGUUAUAGCAUUUUUUAUUAGUUUCGCUUUAUAUUUUUAAAAACUUCAUUUAAAUCCAAGUUAGUUAACGUAUAGUGUAAUAAUGGUUUCAGGAAUAGAAUUUAAUGACUCAUCGCUUACAUAUAACACCCAGUUCUCAACCCAACAAGUGCCCUCCUUAAUGCCCGUCAUGCAUUUAGCCCAUCCCCUUGCCCAGCACCUCUCCAGUAACCCUCUUUGUUCUCUGUAUUUAAGAGUCUCUUAUGGUUUGCCUCACUCUCUGUUUUUAUCUUAUUUUUCCUUCCCUUUCCCUAUGUUCAUCUGUUUUAUUUCUUAAAUUCCACAUAUGAGUGAAGUCAUAUGUUUAUAUUUCUCUGACUGACUUAUUUUGCUUAGCAUAAUACCUUCUGGCUUCAUUCACAUUGUUGCAAAUGACAAGAUUUCAUUCUUUUUGAUUGCAGAGUAGUAUUCCAUGGUGUGUGUGUGUGUGUGUGUGUGUGUGUGUGUGUGUGUGUGUACCACAUCUUUCUCAUCCAUUCAUCAGUCGAUGGACAUUACACUCUUUUCAUAAUUUGGCUUUUGUUGAUAGUGCUGCUAUAAACACUGGAGUGCAUGUGCCCAUUCAAAUCAGGAUUUUUAUGUCUUUUAGAUAAACACCUAGUAGUGCAAAUGCUAUGUCAUAGGGGUAGCUCUAUUUAUAAUUUUUUGACAAACCUCCAUCCUGUUUUCCAGAGUGACUGCACCAGUUAGCAUUCCUACCAGCGGUACAAAAUGUCCCAGUUUCUCUGCAUCCUCACCAGCAUCUGUUGUUUCCCGAGUUGUUAAGUUUAGCCAUUCUGACAGGUGUGGGGUGGUAUCUCAUUGUGGUUUUGAUUUGUAUUUCCCUGAUGAUGAGUGAUGUGGAGCAUUUUUUUCAUGUGUCGGUGGGCCAUCUGGAUGUCUUCUUUGGAGAAAUGUCUAUUCAUGUCUUUUGCCCAUUUCUUCACUGAAUUAUUUGUUUUUUGGGUGUUGAGUUUGAUCAGUUCUUUAUAGAUUUUGGAUACUAACUCUUAAUCUGAUGUGUCUUUUGCAAAUAUCUUUUCCCAUUCCAUCAGUUGCCUUUUAGUUUUCCGGAUUGUUUCCUUUGCUGUGCAGAAGAUUUUUAUCUUAAUGAGGUCUCAAUAGUUCAUUUUUGCUUUUGUUUCCCUUGCCUCCAGAGACAUGUCUAGUAAGAAGAUGCUAUGGCCGAUGUCCAAGAGGUUACUGCCUGCUUUCUCUUGUAGGAUUUUGAUGGUUUCCUGUCUCACAUUUAGGUCUUUCAUCCAUUUGGAGUGUAUUUUUCUGUAUGAUGUAAGAAAGUGGUCCAGGUUCAUCCUUCUGUAUGUCACUGUCCAGUUUUCCCAACACCGUUUGAUGAAGAGACUUUUUUCCAUUGGACAUUCUUUCCUGCUUUGUUGAAGAAUAGUUGGUCAUGCUUCAUUAUCGGUGUAUAGAAAUGCAACCAAUUUCUGUACAUUGAAUUAUAUCUUGCGACUUUGCUGAAUGCAAGUAUCAGUUCUAGCAGUUUUUUGGUGGAGUCUUUUGGGUUUUCCAUGUAAAGUAUCAUGUUGUCUGUGAAGAGUGAAAGUCUGACUUCUACUUUGCCGAUUUGUAUGCCUUUUAUUUCUUUUUGUUGUCUGACUUCUGAGGCUAGGACUUCCAGUACUUUGUUGAACAACAGUGGUGAGAGUGGACAUCUCUGUUGUGUUCCUGACCUUAGGGGGAAAGCUCUGUUUUCCCCCAUUGAGGAUGAUAUUAGCUGUGGGUAUUUCAAACAUGGCCUAUAUGAUCUUGAGGUAUAUUCCUUCUAUCCCUACUUUCUUGAGGGUUUUUAUCAAGAAAGGAUGCUGUAAUUUGCAAAUGCUUUUUCUGCAUCUAUUGAGAGAAUCACAUGGUUCUUAGUCUUGCUUUUAUUAAUACAAUGUAUCACAUUGAUUGAACUGCAGAUAUUUAACCACCCCUGCAGCCCAGGAAUAAAUCCCAUUUGAUUGUGGUGAAUAAUUCUCUUAAUGUGUUGUUGGAUUUGGUUUGCUAGUAUCUUGCUGAGAAUUUUUGCAUCUACAUUCAUUAAGGAAAUUGGUCUGUAAUUCUCCUUUUUAGUGGGGUCUUUGUCUGGUUUUGGAAUCAAGGUAAUCAUAACCUCAUAGAAUGAAUUGGGAAGUUCUCCUUUUAUUUCUAGUUUUUUGAAACAGCUUCAAAAAAUAGGCAUUAACUCUUCUUUAAAUGUUUGGUAGAAUUCCUCUGGGAAGCCAUCCAGCCCUGGACUCUUACGUGUUGGGAGAUUUUUGGUUACUGAUUCAAUUUCUUUACUGGUUAUGGGUCUGUUCAAAUUUUUUAUUUCUUCCUGUUUCAACUUUAGUAGUUUAUAUGUUUUUAGGAAUUUGUCCAUUUCUUCCAGAUUGCUCAAUUUGUUGGUAUAUGUAAUUGUUCGUAAUAUUCUUUUAUUAUUGUUUGUAUAUCUGUGGUGUUGGUUGUGAUCUCUCUUCUUUCAUUUGUGAUUUAUUUAUUUGGGUCCUUUUCUUUUACUUUUUAAUAAAUCUGGCUAAGGAUUUAUCAAUUUUUUAAAUUUAUUUCAAAGAACCAGUCCCUUGGUUUCAUUGAUAUGUUCUACUGUUUUUUGUUUUUUUUUCCCCCAAUAUCAUUGAUUUAUCCUCUAACCUUUAUUAUUUCCCCUUGUCUGAUGGUUUUGGGCUUUGUUUUGCUCUUCUUUUUCCAGCUCCUUUGGGUGUAAUGUUAGAUUGUGUAUUUGAGACCUUUCUUCCUUCUUUAUUAAGGGCUGGAUUGCUAUAUACUUCCCUCUCAUGACCACCUUUGCUGCAUCUCAGAGGUUUUGGACUGUCCUGUUACCAUUUUUAUUGGCUUCCACGUACUUUUUAAUUUCCUCUUUAAUUUCUUCGUUGACCCAUUCAUUCUUUAGUGAAUAUUCUUUAAUCUCAAAAUAUUCAUGGUCUUCCCAAAUUUUUUCUUGUGGUUGAUUUCUGUUGCAGACUGAGUCUGGAGUUCUCUCUUGUCUUGCAAGAGUGUGGACGCAGAAUUGAAUAGAAGAGAGGCUACUGUCUGGGAGGAAGCAAGACCCCAAACAGGGCUUUUGCCUCUGUAUUUACUGAGCUCACAAGAUAUUACCCAUGUGGUGAAGGUGGAGAAAACAAGAUCUUACACACAUGAAUGUGGAGAAAAAAAAUCAGACAGUAGUCAUUAACUUGUAUGUAUAAGAAGAAAAGGGUCUGGAGGCAAGUGGAGUUUGGGAUUAAAGCACAAUAGUAUAUUGGCACCAGAUGGAAAGUAGUUUCCUGCAGGUGAUAUAACAAGUUUGUCGUGAUCCCAUUACAAUAUCUUGUUAGCUUACCUCGGGCACUUUUGCCCCAUGGUGGUGGCUUUCCUCCCAAGCUUUAUUCUAACCCAUUUAUGUAAGAAGAACCUAUUUCCCCACAGAUUUCAAGUUUCAUAGCAUUGUGGUCUGAAAAUAUGCAUGGUAUGCUAUCGACAUUUUUGUACUUGUUGAGGGCUUAUUUGUGACCCUGUAUGUGAUCUAUUCUGAAGAAUGUCUCAUGUGCACUCAAGAAGAAUGUAUAUUUUGCUGCUUAGGAUCAAAUGUUCUGAAUAUAUCUGUUGAGUCCAUCUGGUCCAAUGUGUCAUGCAAAGCCAUUGUUCUCUUGUUGAUUUUCUGCUUAGAUGGUCUGUCCAUUGCUAUAAGUGGGCUGUUGAAGUCCCCUACUAUUAUGGUAUUAUUAUCAAUGACUUUCUAACAUUAUUUUUUAAAUGUAGUUUGAGGUUGAAAAUUGGUGAAUAAAAUGGUACAAAAAAAAAAAAGAGAGUACAUUCCAAGGAAUGACUGCCUUGCACUUGUCCUACAGUAACUGCCACCUGCAUUUCAGUCUCCUCUCCUUCUUUGGUGAGGACAUAAACCCUCACUGCACUAAAUUUUAAUAAAUUAUUUAUUUUCAGUUGUUAUUAAUUAUAUAAACUAGUUUUCAUUGUUCAAUUGAUAUCUUUUUCAUUAUUCAAUUGGGCAUCUUGGUUUGGAAUGAAAUAAGUCGUAAUUUGUUGCAUCAAAAUUGAUGGAAUUAAUAAAUAUUAUAAUGGAUUUUCAUCUAUGUCAAGGUUUUCCAAGGAUGAUUUAAAAUUACCAAGAAAGCUAGAGGAGUAUUUAUUUUAUCAUUUCACCACUGUUGCCCAUGGGGUACCAGAUUCCCUUCAUGAAUAUUCAGACUGUCUAUCUAUAGUCUCCUCCAAACUAGAUAAUAAAUCCUAGAUUCCCCCUAUUUUUUGUUUCUUGCAAACCAUUUCCUAUUAUUAUCUGUAUUAGUCAGGAAUUUUGCUCAUAAAAAGGAAAAACAAAUCUUGCAGUCGUAGCAAAAUUGUGAUUGUUUUUUGGGCUAAUAGAAGAAGUUUAGAGAAUUAAAUAGAACCCAGAAGCAGGAAGCAAAGCUGCAGGGUCAAUCUACCUGGACCGACAGCCCAAAGUUGCUGCACACUAUUGCUACCACUCGCUCAUUGACAGCAAAACUGGGUCUGACUUUUGCACCAUUAAUCCUAAUCAUCUCUUAGUCGUCUCAUUCGGUCCACGUUAAAAGCAGUAAGACAGUGUAAGGGGUUGAACUGAGAUCUUGUGCCUGUGUCCUGACUACCAUGUUUGAAGAGAAGUGUUUCCUCCCUGUAGAGUUCAUAGUGGGAGAUUGGGCACUGCGUUUCUCCAGUAGUGUACCCACGGGGGUUCUCCUGAAAGAGAAAGGGAGAAUUCAUGUUGGAAACUCAAGAGGAAACACAGAGACUAUAGUUGCCUUUAUCUUAGAAGUCAUGAUAAGCCUAGUCAUAUGGACGUAAAUCUCAGGGAAGAUCAUCUGCAGUGGAAGAAGAGAAGUGUAAAGUUGCACCAUAUAGUACAUGAAAAGAGGCAGCUUCAUGAGAGAUAUUUUGUGUAGGGAUAUCUGGUAAGCUUCUUUAGCAGGGAUCCUACUGCAUAAAAAGUCAUUUUAAUUGUCAAAGACUGGUAGGAAAACGAAGAGAUGUAAUAUUCAAAUAGUGCAGUCAUCAUGCCAUGUGAAAGCCAAGUAACGUGAUGAUUCCCUGAGUGAACAAAGUUUGAAAUAUCAGUAUAAUGUUCAUAUUGUCUGGGUGAUUUUACUUCAGGCAAAUGUCAUUUGCCAUUUUAAAUCAAUUAAUUAAAUUAUUAAAUUAUUGUUAAUACAAUUUUAAUUACUUUUGAUGUUGUUAAUACAACUUCCAAUUAAUAUUAAUGUUGUUGAUGCAAUUUUUUGUUUUUGUUUAUAAGAUACUUUUGGUUUCAUGGUUAUAUGAGAGGCAUAAGAAUAUAGGUUUUAUAUCUGUUUUUAUGUUUGUGCAUAUCUAAGUGGAAGGGGCAAUACAUUACCCAUUUUAGAGAAACACUACUCUUUACUAGUUUUGAUUAAUAUACGUACAUACUUAUCUUUAUUCCAAAUGCCAUUAAUUGACACUCUGGAAUAGUUUUCCAACAUCCUCUUAUCCUUAUUAUUAUGAAAAUACAAAAAAACCCCAAAACUAUCAUUUUUGUAUUGCUACUUUUGAGAAACUCUCAUAGGGGAGGCAGUUCAGCUAAAUGGUUAAGAAUUCACGUUUUCGGGAAGCCUAGGUGGCUCAGUUGAUUAAGUGUCCGACUUUGGCUCAGGUCACGAUCUCACAGUUUGUGAGUUUGAGCCCUGCAUCAGGUUCUGUGCCUGGAGCCUGCUUUGAAUUCUGUGUCUCCAUCUCUCUCUCUGACCCUUCCUUGCUCGUGCUCUGUCUCUCUCUGUCUCUCAAAAACUAAAUGUUAAAAGAAAAAAAAGAAUUCAAGUUUCGGAUGCCAACAACUUUAUGAUCUUAGGGAAGGAACUGGGCCCUCGGUUUCAGAGGGUAUGAAUAUGGAGCUAAUAAAUAAUACUUAUAUCACUGGGUUGCAUAGCAACCCAACAAAUCAAACCUAUUAUAUAAUAGGUAUUUGAUCAACAGUAGAUAUUACAGUUAACUUGGGAAUUAUAUAUCAAGAAAGCUUCGGUAUUAUUUGUGGAGGUAUUUUCUGGGAUGCUUGUAUUUGUUUAAUAUUUAUUAGGAGAAAAUAGUGUUUAAAUUCUCAGAAAUUAGAAUAGCCAUUCAAAGAAAGCAGUUGAUCAUUCAGGGAGGAUUAUUAAAGGAAAGGACAUGAAAGUGACAAACUUCCAUGUUCUGUCACAAUCACUUUAGAGUCACCUAAUGAUCUAUAGGCAAGGAAAUCUGAUUCAUGAGUAUUUAUUCUCUUCACCAGCUUGUUUCUCUUCCAUUUCUGUCUUAUUUUCUCUCUCUCUGUCACUCUCUCUUAAACACCACAAGCACUGUUACCAGACCAAAGUGGGUCUGCUUCUUGGUGAGUUACAGAGACUGAAUCAAAGGGAGUUGCCUUAUAAGGUCAUCUUUAUCUGUACAAACAAGGAGAGCACUGGGAAUAAUUUCCAAAUGUGUGUCUCUCCAAACCAGAGAAAGCAGGUUUUUUUCUAUUAGUUAGGGCUCAGGAUGAAUAUUCAGAGGGGGGUUUUAACAUCAUAAUGAGGCUCAGGCACUUUUUCUUUUUUAAGUUUUCUUUCUUUCUUUUUUAAAAUUUACAUGCAAGUUAGUCAGCAUAUAGUGCAACAAUGAUUUCAGGAGUAGAUUCCUUAAUACUCUUUACCCAUUUAGCCCAUCCCCCUUCCCACACCCGUUCCAGUAACCCUCCGUUUGUUCUCUAUAUUUAUGAGUCUCUUAUGCUUUGCCCCCCUCCCUGUUUUUAUAUUAUUUUUGUUUCCCUUCCCUUAUGUUCAUCUGUUUUGUACCUUAAAGUCCUCAUAUGAGUGAAGUCAUAUGAUCUUUGUCUUUCUCUGAUGGACUAAUUUUGCUUAGCAUAAUACCCUCUAGUUCCAUCUACGUAGUUGCAAAUGGCAAGAUUUCAUUCUUUUUGAUUGCCAAGUAAUACUCCAUUGAAUAUAUAUAUCACAUCUUCUUUAUCCAUUCAUCCAUCAAUGGACAUUUGGGUUCUUUCCAUACUUUGGCUAUUGUUGCUAGUGCUGCUAUAAACAUGGGGGUGCAUGUGCCCCUUCGAAACAGCAUACCCGCAUCCAUUGGAUAAAUACCUAGUAGUGCACUUGCUGGGUCGUAGGGCAGUUCUAUUUUUAGUUUUUUGAGAAACCUCCAUACUGUUUUCCAGAGUGGCUGCACCAGUUCUGCAUUCCUAGAGGCUCAGGUACUUUUUGAUUCAUCUGUGCAUGUGUCCUCCUCAAAUGUUUCUUGUUCUGUUCCAGCAGUUUGCUAGUUAGUUUCUAAAAGGUAAGAUUGACAGGUAGACAGAAGCUUUUGGGGUUUCCUGAGUUCCGGAGGUCAGUCCUGAGUUCAGGAGGUCAGGUGGGUGAUAGCACCCCCUCUACACAUGCUUUUGUUUCUUCUGUUUCCUUCUCAAAUUUGGUAUCACUGUUUUCAAUAACAAAUUUAGAUCUGUAAAAUAACAAUUUUGGUCAUUUCUGCUCUCUGUUCACCAAGUGUUACUAACAAAAAUUUAAAAUUAUCUUGCCAAAAGUCUUUGCCAUUUGCCCUUACUGCCCACACACAUAUCUGACACAUUUUGCUUUGGCUGCUGCUACACGUGCAAGAAGAAAUCAAAGGCCUUUAAGCAAGUGGAUUCACAGCUCAAGUUCACAGCUCAGCCCUCUACUAGGGAACGUGGCGUUCAGAUACCUAGAACUCUGUAAUGGGAGCACACUGGGUCAGCCAUCAAAAUCCUAUUGAACGUAAGUAUAUGACUUGGGCUGCACAUUAGAAUAAGCUGAACAUUAAAAAAGAGAAGAAAAGAAAAGAAAAGAAAAGAAAAGAAAAGAAAAGAAAAGAAAAGAAAAGAAACGAAACGAAAUGAAAAAAAAAGAAAAGAAAAAAGAAAAAAGAAAAACUAAUACCUGACUUUCAAGUCACUGAAAUUCUGGUUUAAUUUGUUUGGAGUGAGACUGGGCUUCUAUCUUUUAAAAGUUCACCCAGGUGUUUUUAAAGUUCAGCUUUGGAAACCUCUACCUCAUUGUUAUCUAUUGCCGUCUACACUAUGUAAUUAAGCCCUCGUGGAACGCGUCUUUCUCCAGAGAGCUGGUGUCUCUUUCACUGGACAUGCUUGGUCCCUGAUGGACAUUUAUCACUUAUUUCACCUUAGACAUACAGCCCACAGAAUGCACAUUUCCAGUAAACAGCAAGUACAAGUAAACUAGUAAAGUGAUGAUGACAUACCUAACGCAAUACGUCAGGGAUUGCCGAGGAAAAGGAAAACAUCGCUACCAGAUAGGUAUGUGAUACAGAGGAUUCCUCUAGUAGGGUGUUGUGUUCUGAAGGAGGCGUUUGAUGGUUACAGUCUCUUCAGUUCCGUGAUCCUGUGACUCUUAAGUGUCCGAGGUCUAAAAGAACGGCAAUGGGGUUAAGGAAAAGACUCGAACCCCAAAGAGAGAAAGUUUUGAAAGUAGAAGCAGGGAUUCUUACUUCUGUCUUGUAUUUCACUGGGGGACUUUGGCAGAUGUCUCAAUCAAUUUCUGUUGCAAUUCUCUCUUUCCUUUCCUGGCCGACAAACUCUUGGUGAAAAUCUCUAAAUGGACUUUCCCCAUUCUCUUUACCUUAUUAGUAUUCCUACUAAGACUCUACCCUACCAGCAGAUCUCAGUGGGUUCAACUUUUCCAAAAUACUAUUUGCGACAGUACAGGUGCAGAAUCGACAUCUAUUUACUUGUCUCUGUUCAUCGUAGAGAAAAGUGAGAGAGAGAAGCUAGUAGCUUCUACCUAUGACACAUCAGUGGAGAGGUUCAGCCCCCUUUCGACCUAAAUAUCUCCUCUGACUUGUACCAUUUGGAAAUUUGCUUAAAUUCCAAAUCAUAUUAACAGUUGCAACUUUUCUUUUUUUUUUUUUUUUUUUUUUGUUUGUUUUUCUUUUUGUUUUGUUUUUGGCAACUUCUAACUGCCCAUCUCCAUCUGGAAGUCCCACAGUAGAAAUCUUGCCUGUUUGCAUUUUCUCCACUUUCCUAGGAGCUAAGGCCAGACAGCUACGUGGUGUCUAUGCUUUUUUUUUUUCCCCCCAAACCAUUGACACCUAAUCUAUCACCACUACACUUCCUAAGUAUCCUGGGAUCUGUACACUUCUCACUUCUCUCUACCUCUGUGUAGAGGCCUUUAAAUAUGCCACCACGGUUUCCCUUCUGAAUCACCGUGACAGCUUCCUUACCGAUCUCCUUGCCCUUAGCUUGGCUCUCUGUAGUUUUCAUGGAGACAUUUUCCAGGCUGCGGUCAGAAUUUUAAAAAUGCAAACCUGAUAAUACCAUUUACUCUAGUACUAACCCUUCAAUAUUUCCCCGUUUGCCUGGAUAAAAUGAAACUUCUUCACCGAGGACCUUGAAACCCUUCUUAAUCUGUCCCCUGAUAAUCCUUUGCAGCUUCGUUUCUAGUCAGUAUCCUUUCUCACACUCUGCAUUUCAGCCAGACUGAACUGAUUUUACUUCUCCAACCAUCCAGCCUCAAUUCCAGGUCUUUGUAAACACACUAAUCUCUCUAUUUUAAACAUCCUCUUACUUGGCCUGACGUCUAUCAUCUUUCUGUCUUUGUUGGUAUUUUCUCCUAUCAGGCACCCGUCCUAGUGUUUAGCAUCAGGUAAUUAAUUGCCUCUGUCAGCAUUUCCUAUGUGACUGCAAAUUGCCUGAAAGUGUGGUUUGUAUUUUGCGCGGGACAUUCUCUGUAGACAGCAGUUUGUAACACACAAUACUGCUUGUUAUUUGUCCCAUGAAUAACAUUUUUAAUAGGGGCACCUGGUUGGCUCAGUCAGUAGAACAUGCGAUUCUUGAUCUUGGGGUUGUGAGUUUGAGGCCCACCUUGGGUGUAGAGUUUACCUAAAAAAAGAAAGAAAGAAAGAAAGAAAGAAAGAAAGAAAGAAAGAAAGAAAAGGACUCUAAUAAGUUCACAUUCUUUCUUUCUCUGGAUUAAAUGUAUUUACCUCAAUUAUGAAACUUGAAAGUAAACCUUAAGUGUGCGUAUUAUAUUUAAAUCCUUUUGCAAAUGACUUUCCCCUUAUCGUUCUUCAGCUCAAACACUGAUAUUCAUUUGAAAUAUCUACGGUUAUUUUCCAGUUUAACAGCUCUUGAUCCAAAAGAUCAAAUAUUACUGUAUUUACUAGUGUAAACAGUAAACAGCAAGUACAAGUAAUCUUACAAUUUCAGUAAUUCUAUGUAUUCAACAAACUUUCUCAAUUACCUUUAUCAGAAGCUGAAAUUUGGGAUGCCUGGGUGGCUCAGUUGAUUAAGUGUCCGACUUCAGCUCAGAUCAUGAUCUCAUGGCUUGUGGGUUCGAGCCCUGCAUCGGGCUCUGUGCUGACAGCUCAGAGCCUGGAGCCUGCUUUGGAGUCUGGGUCUCCCUCCCUCUCUGCCCCUCCCCCGCUCGUGCUCUGUCUCUCUCUGUCUCAAAAAUAAAUGUUAAAAAAAUAUUAAAUAUAUAUAUUCUAAAAGGAAACUGAAAUUUAAGAGAUGAAAAACUAUUUUUGCAAGCUGAUACAUGUAAUUAUCAUUUUGGAUAAACCUGUUUUGAAAUCUGUGAUACUGUUGGGUUUAUUUCACCAGUAUGACCAAGAGUCAGUGUGUUUAUUGGCAACACAGUCAAGGGAUUAUGCUAACACACUGAAAUAAUAAGAAUACUGCAAAUUUGCAAAUCUUCAUUGUGCGUUUCCAUCAGCAUUUCUUUGGUAGCAAGUAUGUACCAGCCCCCAGAAACAGAAAAAUCUCUGUGGGACAUUAGGAAUGCAGAGUAGCAUUGCUCUGAGACGAAUACAGCAGAGCGUGGUCUGUUUUUUUAAUGAGGCAAAUCUAGAGCGGGGUAACAUGACCCUGGGCCACCUUGUUGUAGAUCGGUAAAAAUCAUGAAAAUAAUACUCUUACGGGCAGCUACACCAGCAUGGGACUUUGGUGGCCACUUCUGUGGGAAGACGGUGUGAAUAUAAAGCAGAGCCACCACCAAAAGCAGUGGUAAAGCAUUUGGCAGCCUUCAGAGACUCCUCCAUAAGAGGCUGGAGCCAAAGGAGGAGGAGGAGAAUGGUAGACGGCCGCCAGCAGCUAAGACGGCUUUCCUAUGAGGACGUAGGGGGCGCAGAUUGAGACUUUAAAUAAUAGCCAGUGUAAUGUCCCACUCAUUUUUUCCAGUGAACGUUAGAAUCCAACUGAACAUUUUUGUACCAAAAUUGUUAUUUCACAGUUAUUUCUAGAUCGUCAUUCUCUGGAAAACACAAGUUAUUAUUAUUAUUGUGUCUGUCUUUUUGAGAUUUUUUUCCCCUUAUAGCUUUUGAUGUUAUAUGCUGUAGAUACGAUCUCACUUAUUACCAGUCGUAAGUGGUUGGAAUUGGCCAGAAAUACUUGUUUUUACAUUGAAGAUAGAGAGAUAGAUGCGGACAAAGUCUUUAUGUCCAGUCAUAUGAUGCUCUGAACCAGUCAUCAAUCAGUGAUAAAGCUAGAUUUCUCCAACUUCUUUUUAUUAUUAUUAUUAUUAAUUAAUUUAUUUAUUUGGGAGAGUGCAAGCAGGGGAGGGGCAGAGAAAGAGGGGGUAGAAGAUCCAAAGUGGGUUCUGCACCAACAGCAGUGAGCCCAAUGUAGGACUUGAACUUAUGAACUGUGAGAUCGUGACGUGAGCUGAAGUCUGAUGCUCAUUUGACUGAGCCACGCAGGUGCUUCCAGACUUCUCCAGCUUCUGACCAUACUAUCUAUUGACUAUGACCAUGCAGUCUGCAGUGGGGGGUGGUGGACAGAUAUCCAAAAUCUUGGUUGUUUGUGGUUAUUUAUUUAUUUUAUCUUUUAUUUUUAUUUUUUGAUUGAUUUUAAGUUUAUUUAUUUUAGAAAGAGAGAGUGGGGGAGGGGCACAGAGAGAGAGAGAGAGAGAGAGAGACAGAGACAGAAUCCCAUGAAAGCUCUGCCCCAUCAACAUGGAGCCCAAUACAAGGCUCCAACCAUGAUAUCACAACCUGAGCCGAAGUCAAGAGUCGGAGGCUCAACCAACUGAGCCACUCAGGUGGCCCAUACUUAUUUUUUUUGAAAGUAGACUCCGCACCCAAUGUGGUGCUCCAUCUCAUGACCCCAAGAUCAAGACUCGCGCGCUCCAUCAACUGAGCCAGCCAGGCACCCCUGUUUGUGGUUAUUUAAGUUCCCAAUGGCUAGUAGACAGCAUACAGGACCACGAGUUAGCAAGAAAGUUCAAUUUCCUCUGGUGGCCCUGAUCCUCUGUUAUGUGACCUUUGUCCCUCAGCCACUCUGGGUUCCAUUUCUUCCUUUGUGGAGAAGGUGCUUGGGCCAAAUCAGAGACAGUUGACCUGAGGUCUGUGGUUCCCUGCCCUUCCCACGCCAACAGUCACACCACCCAUGAAUAGAUUCCCGGGAAUUGGCCAGUCUAAACUUUUAUACAAUAAGCUAAACACGUACAGUUUUCUAAGCAGAAAUUCAGAGAUAAUAUCAGAUUUUCAAAAAGUCUGUGAUCAAAGAUCACUGACAACAAAUUCACACAACUAGAAUACAUAAUUUCAAAGGCCCUAAUUUAUUUAAAUACCUAUGAUUCCAUGUAUUUUAGCGUUGAAUGUGAUAUGUACUUUCCCAGUGUAACUUCUAGGUACUAAUAGUUAUAGGAUUUCAAAACAAAUAGCCCAAAGCCAAUCUUCAGAGAGAUGGGAAUAAAUAUGAGAGAGCAGUUCGUGAUAUUAUUACAUCUGAAUGUGUCUGGGAUUCUAGCACUUUUAAAUCUUUUCCUUUGCUCUAUUUCAGGUUGUAUGUCUACAUUUCCUUUGUGAGAACGCCUGAGGAAUUGUUGAAUCAACUGUUUUGCAGACAUGUGGCUGCUCUAACUUCUUCCAAUAUGUUAAUGUGUUUUUUUUUUAAUUUUUUUAAUGUUUAUUUAUUAUUGAGAAACAGAGCAUGAGCAGGGGAGGGGCAGAGAGAGGGGCAGACACAGAAUCCGAAGCAGGUUCCAGGCUCUGAGCUGUCAGCACAGAGCCCGACGCGGGGCUUGAACUCACAAACCAGGAGAUGGUGACCGGAGCCAAGUCAGACGCUCAACAGACUGAGCCACCCAGGCGCCCUUAUGUUAAUGGUUUGAAUUAAAAAAAUGUUCCUAAGAAGACAAAUUUGGUUGAGAUCCCAAUAUUUAAAGUUCAUGUUUUUGGUUGCAAACUCAAUAAUGUGCAUCAUGUUGAAAUCAUGAAAUUAUUCCAGAAGCUGUAUAUGGCUUUGGGGGGAAAAAAAAAAAAAAAAACUUUUGGCAGCAAAUAAGGGAGUUUCCUCAAAAUUUCUGAAUGCUUAUAUUAUUAUCAGUGGGAGAUUGCUAACAGGGCACUUGGAACUCGUCCAUCUUUGGAAAGCUAGGGAAUUCUUACCAUUAUGCACAUGGGAAAAUAUAACGUUCUGUUAUUGGGAGGAGACCGUGAAACAAAUGCUAGUCUAUCUGGUGGUCAGGGACAGCUUGAAUGAUUCCCAGUUAAUUUUUUUUUUUUUUUCUUGUUAGCCCCAGAAUGUCUCACAUGCACAUUCCAGGGCGGACAGCUUGCCUUCAAACCUCUUUCUAGGCAACAACAAUACCAGUGAUUGUACCAGUGCCAAGACUAAAGCCAUUGCUCUAAAGGCCUGACAUUUUCGGCUGUCCAUGGCAGCUCUUUCUGCUUUCUUACUAUUCUUUCUUUCUGCCUCAUCACCCCUUCAACUCAUUCUUCGAGCAGAUAUUUUCGGGACUUCUCCCUUUCUUUUCAUUUCCAUAAUCACAAUCUAGUCUCGAUUCUGCUCCAGCUCUCCUAUGGUUUCUUCUCUAAAUGCCCUAACGUUUCUUUCCAUAAUCUCUUCUCUGGGGAGUUAACUUACGCUGAACAGUAAGGAUUCUCUUUCUCAUCCGUUCUUGACCUUAAUAUACAUAUUAACAUCACAAUAUAUUUUAUGUGUAUAUUUAUUUAUUUAUUUCAGGAUCCUUUAGUACUUACUUGCAAGUAGAUACAAUCUAUAAAACUUCGCUUUUUUUUCUUUCCCUACAUAGUCUCUUCUUUCUCUCCCGGUAGAUUUGUCCAACGUCUAGAUUCUACAAAGUGCCUGACCCUAAAAAGAGAAUGAUGAUGGAAAAGAGCGGCGGGGCACCCGGGUGGCUCAGUCCAUUAAGCGUCUGACUUUGGCUCAGAUCAUGAUCUCAUGGUUGGUGAGUUCAAGGCCUGCAUCGGGCUCUCUACUGUCAGUGCAGAGCCCGCUUUGGAUCCUCUGUCUCUUUUUCUCUCUGCCCCUCCCCUACUCACUCUCUCUCUCUCUCUCAAAACUAAAUAAACAUUUAAAAAGAAAAAGUCCUUUAACAUUGAAGGGAAUCACAGUUUUGUAGAUUAAGCAAAUGUAUGGAUAAUUACACUUUUCUUCUUAGUGCUUGUCAAAAUGAUAAUUAGUUGACUUAUUGUUUAUCUCCCUCACCAGGGAAUAGACCAGGGCUACCAGUUCAAUAUUAUUCCCAACACCUAAUCCAAUACUUGGCACAUAAGAGGGGAAGAAUGCAUAUUUGUUGAAUCAAUUACUGAAUUAUAGCUAUAGAAUAAUAUUCUAAUAGUGACACAUCCAAACUUCAGUGGAGGCAACUAGGAUCUAUUUCACUCUGAGCAGAAGGAUCAGAGGUUUCAUAAAAAAGACCACGUCCAAGCUGAGACUUUUAAGAAUUGGUAGGAGAUGGAGUGCCUGGGUGGCUCAAGUCGGUUAAGCAUCCGACUUCAGCUCAGGUCAUGAUUUCAUGGUUUGUGGGUUCGAGCCCCACAUCGGGCUCUGCGCUGUCAGCCCAGAGCCUGUAGUCUGCUUCAGCUUUCUGUGUCUCCCCCUCUCCCUGCCCCUCCUGCUCGCACUCUCUCUCUCUCUCUCUCUCUCAAACAUAAAUAAACAUUACAAAAAAUUUUAAGGAUCAGUAGGAGUUGAAGAAAACAGGUUAAGUUGGAUGCUGCUGCAGCGAAGUAAAUAGAGGAGGUGUCAGGAGAUAGAGCUGGGAAGAGCUUUUUUCUGUAAGCCGGCAUUUCCAACAGUGUCUUCUGAGGACGCUGGUCUCCCCUGUUAUUCAGAGAAAACCAUGUUCCGUGUGCUGGUAAAUGUUUAACAAUUGGAUCGCCUGAAAAUAUAAAAAGUCCUGAUUUGUAACGCUGGCCAGGAAUAGAUGCAGAGCAGCACGCGACUUUGUAGUAUUUCUACCAUCCAGAUGCAGGAGAUACACGUGACUCCGAGAACGUAAGUAGGAGUAGCCUGUAGUGAUUCUUUGGGAGGAAAGAUAAUUUUUCCCUCUACCUGAUGAAUAAUAAAACAGCAAUAAUAAUAGAAUUUACUAUUUUCUAUUACUUUUCUUUUGUCUUUAAAAAAAAUUUUUUUUAACGUUUAUUUAUUAUUGACAGGGAGAGACAGAGCAUGAGCAGG